GUCCCCACAUGUACAUACUUACAAAGUCAAAAGAACUAAAGCAAGCAUGUGCUACCAUACCCCUACUUCAGCAAUCUAUAUGCUAACUGAUGAAUUACCAUGCUAAUUUUGCUUAGUUAUUUGAUGUCCAUGUCUAAUUGACUAAAAAUGAUUUGAUGAAAAGUCAAAAUGUAUAUAUUAGUGAUAUCUUUGAAUUACUUGAACUAUUUACAUAUGUUUCAGAUAUUAUAGUAUGUUUUCUUCCCACUACCUCAAGCAUAUGAAAACUCACUUGGAAAAAAAGAAUGUUAACAGUUCCAAGAGGAGAAGACCUACAUAAGUAUUCGAUAGAUAACACAUUGUGAUGUGAUAUAUCAGUCAGUGUCCUGGUACUUGUCAAAGUAUAUCUUGAAGGUUGUGGCGUGCAUGAGCAUACUGUUGUGCAGGUUUGUUGUCAGCAGAACAACUUGAGGAAAACUAAUUAUAGAUGUUCCUAUGUCAUCUGAUUCCUCCAAAAAAAAUGUUGGGCAGCAGGCAAUAAUAUAGCAUGAUAGUAGAUGAUGCUAAAAAGACAUGCCACUAUGUAUGUAUCCAGUAAUAUAGAGGCAUUGCCCAUCGACAAAAUUAAACUCUUUCUCAACAUUAUUUUAGUGAAUAAAGCAUGCUUUGCUAUCUUCAUGGAUGGAUGGAGAACAACUCAAUGCACUGGGUAUUUUAGUGACAGAAGUAACUUUAGCAGGAUGUACAUAAGGCUCGUUAUUAGUAGAGGAUUCUUCACCCAGGGAAAGUUGGUUAAGCUUUGUAUUCCAUAUCCACUGUUCCUUGGUGUGAAAGAAGCUCAAAACAGAAAACAAAAUAUGUCAGUCACUCAAUUUAAAUGUCUUAUUUUAUCGCAUGCUUGUACUGAAGGCUUAUUUUAUCGCAUGUUUAUACUAAAAUCUGAAUAGAGCACAAAUUCAACAUGUGGUAGUAUGUAUUUAAAAGUAUCAAGAAAGUAGCUUUGUUGACCUACAUAUGUUGAAGUGAUGUUCUUUUGAAAGUACGCUAACCCACUAUUUUGUCAGCUCAGGUGAUCUAUUGCAGUAACCAAGUAAGAUGGGAGACCUUUUUAACGGGGAACACUAAGUUGUAAAUGCAAAUAAAAGUUUUAGGCCUUAAUAUGCACAUCAUUUCUUAAAAGCAUCAUAUCCACACAAAUUGAUCCGCAACAAUCAAGUAAAGUAGUUCCUAUCAAGAAACAUAUAUUAAAGAACUAUAUCAUCGGUCAGUAUCCAAUUCUGCACCUCUUCUUUUCCAUAUGUAAUUUUGUAUUGACAACUAAACAACAAUAUAAAAAGCAAUUAAUCUGAAAAACAUGCCCGUCGGAUACCGUUAUUGUUGACCCAUCAGCAUAUAAAGAAUGAUGUGCUUUAUAAAGGUCUUAUAUUGCAGGUGAGCCUCUGGCUAUCAUGAUGGAACUCUACGAUAGAAGGUUUUGAGAUUAACCGAAUUAGUAAGCUAUAUUUUUGAAAAGGUAAAAUAGUUUGAAGAUAACAAGUAUAGAAAAAGAAUCAAUAGUUGUAUAAUACUAACCACUGUUGUAAACUAAUAUUCAAAUCUUAUUAUGAUGGUUAAAUUGACAAAUUCGUAAAUUGGAUGACUAAUUUAGCAGUUAAACUUCAUUGCUGAUAUGAGUGGCAGACUCGCACGCUAGUUCAUGUUGUAAUGCAAAAAUGGCACAACCUUGUUUCAGGAAAAGGUGCAAGCAAAUACAAGUGUUCAUCAUGAUUAUGAGUUUUGAAGUAUUAAUACACGCAUUGUCGGGGAUAUGACCCCGCGAUCUAACCUGUCGCUUGGGCCAAGUUAAGCCAUAGGCGGUCUAAGGAGCAUAUGUUCGAUGGGCCGUGGAGAAGACAGGAGGCCGGGGCAGAGGACUUACCAAGUAAGUCGCAAGGCGUCCCGACACCAGAAGACGGUGACUCAAGGCCCACUAGGCAGAAGACGCUAGGAGGUUUCUUAUCUUGGGAGGCAAGAUGAAGUAAGAAUUGUAAUAAGCCAUGAUACGUCUCAAACGUAUCUGUAUUUUUUGAUGGUUUCACGCUGUUAUCUUGUCUUCUUUGGUUGUUUUAUGUACCUUGUAUAUCUUUUUUGGGACUAACUUAUUAAUUCAGUGCCAAGUGCCAGUUCCUGUUUUUCCGUGUUUUUGAUUCUUUUCAGAUCUGAUUUUGGAACGGAGUCCAAAAAGAAGAAAAACCCGAAAAUGAUUUUUUUUCCCGAACGGAAGAAGCCCAGGGAGCUUUUGGGCCAAGCCAGGUGGGCUCCACGGAGCCCACAAGCCCCCACUCCGCCACCAGGGGAGGCGGCGGUGGGCAGGCUUGUGGCCUCCCUGGCCGCCCCCUGACCUAGGUCUUUGGCCUAUAAAUUCCCAAAUAUUCCGCAAAAAAUCAGGGGAGCCUCGAAAAUACUUUUCCGCUGCCGCAAGAUUCCGUUUCCGCGAGAUCUCAUCUGGAGACCCUUCCCGGCACCCUGCCGGAGGGGACUUUGGAGUUGGAGGGCUUCUUCAUGAUCAUCAUCUCCCCUCCAAUGACUCGUGAGUAGUUCACUUCAGACCUGCGGGUCCGUAGUUAGUAGCUAGAUGGCUUCUUCUCUCUCUUGGAUCUUCAAUACAAAGUUCUCCACGAUCUUCAUGGAGAUCUAUCCGAUGUAAUCUUCUUUGGUGGUGUGUUUGUCGAGAUCCGAUGAAUUGUGGAUUUGUGAUCAGAUUAUCUGUGACAUAUAUUUGAGUCUUUGCUAAUUUAUUAUAUGCAUGAUUUGAUAUCCUUGUAAGUCUCUUCGAGACUUGGCUUUCGUUUGGCCAACUAGAUCUAUGAUUCUUGCAAUGGGAGAAGUGCUUGGUUUUGGGUUCUACCAUGUGGUGACCUUUCCCAGUGACAGUAGGGGCAGCAAGGCACACAUCAAGUAGUUGCCAUCAAGGGUAAAAAGAUGGGGUUUUAUCAUUGGUUUGAGAUUAUCCCUCUACAUCAUGUCAUCUUGCUUAAGGCGUUACUCUGUUCUUAUGGAUUUAAUACACUAGAUGCAUGUUGGACAGCGGUCGACGUGUGGAGUAAUACUAGUAGAUGCAGAAAGUAUCGGUCUACUUGUUUCGGACGUGAUGCCUAUAGAAACAAUCAUUGCAUAGAUAUCGUCACGACUUUGCGCGGUUCUAUCAAUUGCUCGACAGUAAUUUGUUCACCCACCGUCUACUUGCUUUCAUGAGAGAAGUCACUAGUAAACACUACGGCCCCCGGGUCUAUUCACAUCCAUCGUUUACACCUCCGCUUUUGCUUUGCUUUGUUACUUUGUUGCUUUCAGUUCUCAGUUGGCAAACAAUCUAUAAGGGAUUGACAACCCCUUCAUAGCGUUGGGAGCAAGUUUUUGUGUUUAUGCAGGAUCUUGAGAUACUCCUCCACUGGAUUGAUACAUUGGUUCUCAAACUGAGGGAAGUACUUACCACCGCUACGCUACGUCACCCUUUCCGCUUCGAGGGAACACCAACGCAAGGCUCCAAGGCCACGGGGGAAAUCCUUUGAAUACUUGCCUAGGAAGUCCCUUAAGGCGUAGUCGCAGCUGAAGGAUUCCUGGUGCCGUUGCUGAGGAGUAUCAAGCAACACUCCUAUUUCUGGCGCCGUUGGAAGGUCUUUUGUUGCAGUAGCAGAAGUAUUUAUGGCGCCGUUGCCGGGGAGGAGCACGUCAAGAUAACUUGCCGACAACGUGCCUAUUUCUGGCGCCGUUGCCGGGGAGGAGAAAUCAAGAUCUACCCAAGUAGGUCUCACAAACUCUUCUCUUGAAUUUACUUUUGUUGCCAGUUGCCUCUCGUUGUCCUCUCCCCCACUUCACAUUUGUCGUUUUCAUUUGCCUUUUUCCUUUGCCGUUUUCUUUUGUCUUUUUGAUGUUCUCUUUUGCCCGUUUCACUCUCUCUUCCUGCUCGUUUGUGUGUGAGAUAGUCCAUCAAUGGCUAGACCCACCACUCCAAACGACGCCCCUGAAAAUGAAGUUCUCAAUUUCAGGCAGAAUGAGGAAGAAAAUUUGAAGGACGCUUGGUACAGGAUUUGCAAUGCUCAAAGUAGAUCUACUCGUAAGCAAUCCACCACCGUCCUCCUUCGCAGUUUCUAUGUUGGAAUUUCUCCUUGGAAUAGGUAUAUCCUUGAUACCAUUGUAGGCGGGAACUUUUUGGUUGAGCCAUACUGUUGACUCCUAUAGAGCUAUCAUUAACUUGGUAGGCUCACCCCCGCUCAUGGUUAAUGGAACUAUCUUGACCUUGGAACACGUGAUGCAAAGGCUUGACGCUAUUGAAAACAAAAUUGCCACAGUCGAACUUAUUGAGGGUUUGGAUAAAAAGAUCCACAAUCAAAUUACUCAGUACGGAUCCAAACUGGGAAACUUUUUGAAAAAUUUAAAGGAGAAGGAACUUAUAGUUAAUAAUUCUUCUAGAAUUGGGAAAUUAGAAGAUGUCAUAAUCAACUUGGGUUCCGCUUUUGCCGCUGUGCAAAAUACUCCAAAUCUCACUCUCAAAAAGAUAGUCAAGCCUGUUUUUGUUCCUAAAGCUAGUGGUGAGUCAUCUAAUAAAGACGAAAACCUUAAGAUGAUAAAUGAUCACACUACCUAUGGUUUGAGCACCAAAGAUGACUAUACGUGAUUCCAUCACUUUCGCCUAGCUAAGGGCGUUAAACAAAAGCGCUUGUUGGGAGGCAACCCAACGAAUCUAUCCUUUUUCUUUCUGUUUUGUGUUUUCCACACUUUCAUAAUUCUGUUAUGAUUGUGUUUUUUUGUUUCUUUUUGCGUUUGUGCCAUGCAAAACCGUUAUGAUUAGUCUUGGGGAUGAUCGUUUGGUCAUGCUGGAAAAGACAUAAACUUUCUGCUCACGAACAUAAUUUUCAUUUUUUCUGUAAGAGCUUUUGAGUUGAUUCUUUUUUGCUGCUGAUUGCUACGCAAAUUCUUCAGACUGCCGUAAUUUGUCAGAAUUUUUGAAGUACCAGAGGUAUACGAAAUAUACAGAUUGCUGCAGACUGGUCUGCUGUUAACAUAUUCUGUUUUUGUUGUGUUGGUUGCUUAUUUUGAUGAAACUAUGGAUAGUAUCGGGGGGUAUUACCCAUGGAAGAUUGAAAGUACAGUAACCCUACAUCAGAACAAGUAGAAUUUAAGUUUGCUAUAGUACCUAAGGAAGUGGUGGUUUUCUUUCUUGUACUAAUGUUAUCAUGAGUUUCUGUUUAAGUUUCGUGUUGUGAAGUUUUCAAGUUUUGGGUGAAGUUCUUAUGGACAAAGAUAUAAAGAGUGCCAAGAGCUCAAGCUUGGGGAUGCCCAAGGCACCCCAAGAGAUUCAAGGAUGCUGUAAAAGCCUAAGCUUGGGGAUGCCCCGGGAAGGCAUCCCCUCUCUCGUCUUCAAUCCAUCGGUAACGUUACUUGGGGCUAUAUUUUUAUUCACCACAUGUUAUGUGUUUUCGCUUGGAGCGUCUUGUAUCAUAGGAGUGUUUUAUUUUUUUUGUGUCACAGUCAUACUAGCUGCACACCUAGAGAGAGAGACAUGCACACACCGUGAUUUUGUCGAGCUUCACUUAUAUCUUUUGGUAGACAAUUCAGCUCACAUGUGCUUCACUUAUAUCUUUUGAGCUAGAUACUUUUGCUCUUUGUGCUUCACUUAUAUCUUUUAGAGCGCAGCAGUGCGUGGCUUGGUAGUUGAUCUAUGCUUUGAAAGUAGUCUCAAAAGGGGUAGUUAUCGAAAGGGAUACGAAAACUUCCACCUUCAUGUGCAUUGAAUAGUUAGAGAAGUUUGAUUCAUCUCAAUCAGUUUUGAGUUGUGGUUAUGGUAAUAUUGAAGUCAUUUUAGUAAGGUGUUGUGAAUCUAGAAAUACUUGUGUUUAAGUUAGUGAUUCCCGUAGCAUGCACGUAUGGUGAACCGCUAUGUGAUGAAAUCUAAGCAUGAUUAGUAUAUUGAUUGUCAUCCUUUGCGUGGCGGUCGGGAUCGCGCGAUGGUUUAUACCUAUCAACCCUUCCCCUAGGAGUAUGCGUUGAAUGCUUUGUUUCGAUUACUAAUAAAAAUUUUGUAACAAGUAUAUGAGUUCUUCAUGACUAAUGUUGAGUCCAUGGUUUAGAUGCACUUUCACCUUCCACCAUCACUAUCUUCUUAGUGCCGUGCAACUUUCGCCGGUGCACAAAACCCACCAUUAGCCUCUCUCAAAACAGCCACCAUACCUACCUACUAUGGCUUUUUCAUAGUCAUUCCGAGAUAUAUUGCCAUCCAACUACCACCAUGACAUGUGCCACCACGUCUACAUUGCCAUUUCAUGAUCGUAUGAUAGCUAGCAUGAUGUUUCCAUUGAUGUCUAUGCCAUGCUAGAUCAUUGCCACGGUACACUAUCAAAGGCAUUCCAUAUAGAGUCAUCGUUACUCUAAGUUUUGAGUUGAAAGUGUGAUGAUCAUAAUUAAUGGAGCAUUGUCCCAUGUGAGGAAAUAAAAGAGGCCAAAUAAGCCCACAAAAAAAAGAGGCUGAAGAGCCCUCCAAAUAAAAAAAAUGAGAGGAAAAGAGAGAAGGGACAAUGCUACCACUUUUUCCACACUUGUGCAUAUUAAGCACCAUGAUCUUCAUGAUUGAGAGUCUCUCAUUUUCUCACCACCAUAUAGCUAGUGGGAAAUUUUCAUUAUGUAACUUGGCUUGUAUAUUCCUAUGAUAGGCUUCCUCAAAAUUGCCUUAGGUCUUCGUGAGCAAGCAAGUUGGAUGCACACCCACUAGUUUUCUUUAAGAGCUUUCACAAACUCAUAGCUCUAGUGCAUCAAUUGUAUGGCAAUCCCUACUCAUUCACAUUGAUAUCUAUUGAUGAGCAUAUCCACAGCUCAUUGAUAUGCCUAGUUAAUGUGACUAUCUUCUCAUUUUUGUCUUGCAACCUCCACUACAUUCCACACCAUCUAUAGUGCUAUAACCAUGGCUCACGCUCAUGUAUUGCGUGAGAGUUGAAAAGGUUUGAGAAAGUAAAGGUGUGAAACAAUUACUUGGCCAAUACAGGGGUUGUGCCUGAUUUAAAUUCGUUGUGCAAUGAUGAUAGAGCAUAGCCAGACUAUAUUCUUUUGUAGGGAUAACUUUCUUUUGGCCUUGUUAUUUUGAAAGUUCAUGAUUACUUUGCUAGUUUGCUUGAAUUAUUAUUGUUUCUGCGUCAAUAGCAAACUAUUGUUUUGAAUCAAAUGGAUCUGAACAUUCACAUCACAUAUGAGGAAUUACAAAGGACACCUAUGCUAGGUAGCAUGAAAGCAUCAAAAAUCCAUUCUUAUCACUUCCCUACUCGAGGACGAGUAGGAGUUAAGCUUGGGGAUGCUUGAUACGUCUCAAACGUAUCUAUAAUUUUUGAUGGUUUCACGCUGUUAUCUUGUCUUCUUUGGUUGUUUUAUGUACCUUUUAUAUCUUUUUUGGGACUAAAUUAUUAAUUCAGUGCCAAGUGCCAUUUCCUGUUUUUUCCGUGUUUUUGACUCUUUUGAGAUCUGAUUUUGGAACAGAGUCCAAACGGAAGAAAAACCCCGAAAUGAUUUUUCCCCGAACAGAAGAAGACCAGGGGGCUUUUGGGCCAAGCCAGGUGGGCUCCAGGGAGCCCACAAGCCCCCACUACGCCACCAGGGGAGGCGGCGGUGGGCAGGCUUGUGGCCUCCCUGGCCGCCACCUGACCUAGGUCUUUGGCCUAUAAAUUCCCAAAUAUUGCACAAAAAAUCAGGGGAGCCUCGAAAAUACUUUUCCGCCGCCGCAAGCUUCCGUUUCCGCGAGAUCUCAUUUAGAGACCCUUCCCGGCACCCUGCCGGAGGGGACUUUAGAGUUGGAGGGCUUCUUCAUCAUCAUCAUCGCCCCUCCAAUGACUCGUGAGUAGUUCACUUCAGACCUACAGGUCCAUAGUUAGUAGCUAGACGGCUUCAAUACAAAGUUCUCCAUGAUCUUCAUGGAGAUCUAUCAGAUGUAAUCUUCUUUGGCGGUGUAUUUGUCGAGAUCCGAUGAAUUGUGGAUUUGUGAUCAGAUUAUCUAUGAUAUAUAUUUGAGUCUUUGCUGAUUUCUUAUAUGCAUGAUUUGAUAUCCUUGUAAGUCUCUCUGAGUCUUGGGUUUUGUUUGGCCAACUAGAUCUAUGAUUCUUGCAAUGGGAGAAGUGCUUGGUUUUGGGUUCUACCAUGUGGUGACCUUUCCCAGUGAUAGUAGGGGCAGCAAGGCAGACAUCAAGUAGUUGCCAUCAAGGGUAAAAAGAUGGGGUAUUUAUCAUUGGUUUGAGAUUAUCCCUCUACAUCAUGUCAUCUUUCUUAAGGCGUUACUCUUUUCUUAUGGACUUAAUACACUAGAUCCAUGCUGGAUAGCGGUCAACGUGUGGAGUAAUAGUAGUAGAUGCAGAAAGUAUCGGUCUACUUGUUUCAGACGUGAUGCCUAUAGAAACAAUCAUUGCAUAGAUAUUGUCACGACUUUGCGCAGUUCUAUCAAUUGCUCGACAGUAAUUUGUUCACCCACCGCCUACUUGCUUUCAUGAGAGAAGCCACUAGUAAACACUACGUCCCCCGGGUCUAUUCACAUCCAUCGUUUACACCUCCGGUUUUACUUUGCUUUGUUACUUUGUUGCUUUCAGUUCUCACUUGGCAAACAAUCUAUAAGGGAUUGACAACCCCUUCAUAGCGUUGGGAGCAAGUUUUUGUGUUUGUGCAGGAUCUUGAGAUACUCCUCCACUGGAUUGAUUCCUUGGUUCUCAAACUGAGGGAAGUACUUACCACCGCUACGCUACAUCACCCUUUCCGCUUCGAGGGAACACCAACGCAAGGCUCCAAGGCCAUGGGGGAAAUCCUUUUCAUACUUGCCUAGGAAGUCCCUUAAGGCGUAGCCGCAGCUGAAGGAUUCCUGGUGCCGUUGCUGAGGAGUAUCAAGAAACACUCCUAUUUCUGGCACCGUUGGAAGGUCUUUUGUUGCAGUAGCAGGCCAUAGACGUUUCUUCGACCCGGACUCUAUUGUAAAGUCGAGGCCUCUACCUAUAUAUAAAGGAGAUACCUCGAGCUAGAAAGAUCAAGCAAGAAACUCUCGAGAGCUUGGUUAGCUAUUCUGCAUCCUUGUAAUCGAGAUGUCUGUCAAUAUAGACACAAAAGUAGGACAUAGACUUUUACCUCCAUCUGAGGGGCCGAACCUGGGUAAACCCGUCUCCUGUUUCCUGAUCAACCUCUUCGAGUCGCCACACAACGGUGAUGGCCUCACCACUAAGGCCUUUUACGAGGAUAGCUGCCGUGACAAAACUACGACAGUUGACGCCCACCGAGGGGCAAUCGCAAGGUGGAGUUGAGUUCUCGAAGGGAGAUCUUCCAGGGUUCGGGAGCUAUGUGGUGGGUCAGAUGACCAAGAGUCAUCGCGGCAAGAUCUACAUCGACGAUUCAAGACGGGGUCCCCUCGCCGACUCGGUCGAGUACAGGUAUCGCAUCCCUUUCGGCAAGAUCCACAGCUUCAUCGGCAAGGUCAAUGAAGCAACGCCCGAGAUGGACAUAUGUAUCAACAUUGUUGAGACGGCUCACCACGUUUGACCCAACCGGUGUGGGUGUGGCCGAAGCCAAACCUUCGUGGAGAACAUCGGGUCAUCCCGUCCUCUCAAAGGUGGGAACGUUGAAGGCCAAGGCAACAACAAGCGAAAGUGGCCCGGGGGCAGGUCAGAGACUGCGGUCAGUAUCAAUGCGAGUUUCAAAAACCAGCGCCUGAGCGACCGUCCUAAGAAGGUUUACCACGCGAAAAAGUCAUGCAACUAAGAGGCUGCGCUCAAGGCGUCUUUCCCCGGGCAUGGUACUCAGCAGAAGUCGGCUAAUCAUUCAUGGGAAGACUGUUAUAUCAUGCGGGAUUUCCAUAACUGGGUUCUCGAAAAACGCCAAGAGGAACAUCCAGGUCAAAAUACCCCUGGUGGGUCAACUGCGGGUCUCAAACCACCAAGUAGUGGUCAGUACCAUGUGUUCACCAUCAAUGCUUGCAAAUGAGACACAAAGGUCAGAAAGAGGGCUAUCGGCAUGGAUGAGCCGGUGGUUCCUAAGUACAUUCGUUGGUCUGAGCAGCCAAUCAUGUGGAGCCUUGAGGAUCAUCCCCCCUGGGUCGACAACCCUGGAGACCUGGCCCUAGUGGUGGUGCCUCAAGCGAAUGGCUAUACCCUUACAAAGGUCCUCAUGGAUGGAGGAAGCAACGUCAACAUAUUAUAUUAUGACACCUUUCGCCAGAUAAACCUCCUCGACGGCUCCUUGGAAACUUCAAUCAUCGUUUUUCACGGCAUCGUUCCCAGGAAGUCGUCGUACCCGGUCGGGCGGAUUAAGGUUUACGCGGCCUUUGGUGAUGAGUGUAACUACAGGGUCGAGCCUUUGACUUUUGAAGUUGUAAAGAUACAUAGCCCUUAUCAUGCCCUCUUCGGGAGGCUGGCUUAUGCCCAUUUCAUGGCUGGCCCCUGUUAUGUUUACCCCAAGCACAAGAUGCCAGGUCCCAAUGGAACUAUAACGGUGGGAGGCGACAGGAAGACGGCUUAGGAAUGUGAGGAAGGGGACGCAACCUAUGCUGAGUCAGCCUGUGGAGCUCAGGAGCUAAAAAUUUACAUAGCUAAUGUCGACCCGGCUGACAUGAGUUCUCUCAAGAAGCCGAACACUGAGUCCGAAGAACCCCUCAAGUUCAACCGGCCAAAGAUACCAAACAGAAUGACUUCAUCCCAAGCGACUCAUUCAAGCAGUUCACUAUUGGGACCAAUCUGGAUACUAAAUAGGAAAGCACGCUCAUCGAGUUCAUCUGUGAGAAUCAUGACAUCCGUGCAUGGAAGCCUUCUGACAUUCUUGGAGUAUCGUGGGAACUCCUUGAGCACCAUAUUAACAUGGAUCCUAAGAUGAAACUAGUACGGCAGUACCUCCGUCGCUUUAACGAGGAGAGAUGCAAGGCUAUUGGAGAAGAGGUAGCUUGACUUCUAGCUGAUGGGUUUAUUCUUGAAGUCUUUCACCCUAAAUGGAUGGCUAACCCGGUGUUUUUUCGAAAAAUAAGGACACUUGGCGCAUGUGUGUUUAUUACACAGAUCUCAACAAAGCAUGUCCCAAAGAUCCUUUUUCCCUCCUGCGUAUCGACCAGAUCAUUGACUCUACGGUGGGUUGCGAGCGAUUAUGCUUUUUGGACACAUACUCACGUUAUCACGAGAUCAAAAUGGCUAAGGAGGAUCAGGAGAAGACAACUUUCAUAACCCCUUUUGGUGCCUUCUGCUAUGUUUCUAUGUCUUUCAGGCUCAAGAGUGUAGGGGCGACUUAUCAGCGAUGUGUGCAGUUCACUCAUAGAUCGCACGCAACACUCAUGCUUAUGUUGAUGACAUCGUGGUGCAAUCUUGGAAGAAGGAGACAUUAUUGGACGAUCUCAAGGAAAUGUUUGAUAACCUUUGAGUAUACCAGAUGGAACUUAACCCGACGAAGUGUGUCUUUGGGGUCCCUAUGGGUAAGCUAUUGGGUUUCCUGGUCCCUGAACGAGGUAUUGAAGCCAAUCCCAACAAGAUCAAGGCGGUCACCUCAAUGGGUAAGCCGACUAAUAUAAACUAGGUCCAACGCUUGGCUGGCCGCAUCGCAGCAUUGAGUAGGUUUAUAAGCCGCCUGGGGAGAAGGCAAUCCCUCUCUAUCAGCAGCUGAGAAAGACAGACAAUUUUGUUUGGAGUGAUGCGGCCGACGAAGCCUUUGAAACUCUCAAGAAGUAGUUGGCUAAGCCACCGGGUUUAGCUGCCCCGAUUGACAAAGAACAUAUGCUCUUGUAUAUAGGUGUCAAUUCAAAGGUGGUAAGUGUUGCAGUCGUUGUUGAACAAAAGGACGGAGGAAAGGAAUAUCCAGUUCAAAGGUGAGUUUAUUUCAUCAGUGAAGUCUUGACCCUAUCCAAGCAACGAUAUCCACAAUGGCAGAAACUGGUCUUUGCGGUCUUUACGGCUCAUGCUUUCGUGUACUAAUAAUGCAGCUGAGUAUGAGGCAUUGUUGCAUGGGUUAAGGAUGGCCAAGGAAAUGAAUCUCAUCCGGGUUAGGGCAUUGGGCGACUCAGAUUUAGUGGCGCAGCAGGUUUUAGGGACCUUGGAUUCUAAAGAUCCUUUGUUGGCAGCUUAUGGACGAGCAAUUACUGAGGUCGCAAAUUACUUCCAUGGCUAUCAAGUCGACCACAUAGAUCACCGUCUCAAUGAGGCGGCAGAUGCUUUAUCGCGACUUGGUUCUCAACAGAAGCCGGUCCCUCCCAAAGUAUUUUUGAAUGUCCUUUACAACCCCUCGGUGAAGUUACCGUCUGAAGAGGAUAUAGCUAUUCCAGACGUGGAAUUAUAGCUAGUGGCAACUCUUCGAGCUACCCUAGGUUUGACGGUACCAUAGUUAGCGUAUCUCGCUUGAGGAGAACUCCUAUCUAAGGAAGUCGAGGCCCGCCAGAUAGUUCGUCGAUCUAAAUCGAUGACCAUUAUCAAGGGUGAGUUACAUCUGCGGAGCAACACUGGCAUUUUUUCAAUGUUGUGUAUCUCCCGAGGAAGGACAAGAAAUUCUUAAUGAAAUGCAGGCAAGAAACUAUGGGCAUCACGCCAGCUCAAGAUCUUUGGUGUCAAAGGCCUUUCCUCAUGGGUUUUAUUGGCUAACAGCUCAUGCUGAUGCAGAAGACCUCGUAUGCAAGUGCAAUGGAUGUCAAAAGUUUGCUUGGCAGGCCCAUGUGCUGGCUCAAGAUUUGCACAUGAUCCCAAUCACAUGGCCGUUUGCAGUCUGGGGACUUGAUAUGGUUGGUCCGUUCAAAAUGUCUCUGGUAAAAAAGACCCACCUACUGGUAGCAGUUGAUAAGUUCACCAAAUGGGUUGAGGCGGAACCUGUCAGCAACAGUGAUGCGGAAACAAUGGUAAAAUUCUUGAAGAAGUUAAUCUACCAUUUUGGCUAUCCUCAUAGCAUUAUCACGGACAAUGGUACCAACCUAUCGAAAGGGCUUUGGAACAAUUCCGUCAGAAAGAGCACAUCUGGCUUGACUUGGCAGCGGUAGCGCAUCCGCAAUCCAACGGCCAGGCUGAAAGAGAGAAUCAGGAGAUUUUCAUAGGGGUCAAACCCCGUCUCAUGGCCCCAUUACAGCGUACCCUAGUUAUUGGGUUGAGGAACUCUCCUUAGUAUUCUGAAAUAUCAAUACUACUCCAAAUAGGUUCGCUGGACACACGCCUUUCUUUCUGGUCUAUGGUGCUGAGGUGGUACUCCCAAGUGAUAUUCGCCACGACUCUCCUAGAGUCGCCGGUUAUGUUGAGGGUGAGAAUGAACAAGCACGAGAAGAUCCUUUGUAUUCUUUGGAGGAAGAACGAGACUUAGUAGCAGCUACGUCACCAUAUAUCAACAGGACCUACGCUGUUAUCAUACCUGUAGAGUUAAAAGCCGCACUUUCCAAGAAGGCGAGUUGGUGCUCCGCCUGAUUCAAGAUCAAACGGAGAUUCAUAAACUUUCACCGCACUGGGAAGGCCCAUUUAUCAUCAGGAAAAACCUCAACAAUGGUUCACACUACCUGAUCGAUCUAUGACCCGGUAAGAACAUCUCCGAAGCAGAGACAACCCGGCCCUAGAACAUUGCUCACCCAUGGCCUUAUUAUACUUAGAGCCACUGACUUAUUAUUUCUUGUACCUUCCCCAAUUUGUGUACAUACUUCUAUAGUUUUGAACAUAAUAAAGUUGACAUCCUCAAACUUCGGGGCCUCUAUUGGCUUUAGCCUACAAAUUGAGCAUGAGUCUUUAUUAUUUCAAUACAUGUUACUUGGGGGCUACUAGUCAAAACAAAUCAUCGUGAUCAAUGGAAUCAAGCUGGCUUAUGUGGACUCCAGAUUGUUUAGUAGUAAUAUCAUUGUCUUCUGCAAUCCUAUGCUGCGCUUUUCUAUUGAUCACAUGUUAUUUGGGGGCUUCCAACUCAUCGAGAUUAGCUUUCUCACCGGCUUAAUCCGGCAAAGACGCCACAAAAUGGUUAUACCUCCAUGUAUGUUUGAUGCGACUCCGAGCAGGUGACUCCAUGUACUCUUGACUAUUCAAUCAAUUGUGGACCCUGAAUUAGCAAGGUUAAUACAUUGGUUUGUCAUGUGAGAGUCGGCAUACUGAAGCUAGGAUAAACCAUAGGUUAUCAUGCCCGCUUCAUUAAAGCAAGACUUGAGCCUCGAAAGUCGGUCUCUUUUUACCGUGUCUCACUAAGCCGGAUUAUUAUUGCUUUAUAUUAUCAUGACUUGAUCGUGUCAGGUACAAACGCUAUUUUUCUGGCUCAUAAAGAGUGCUCGGGUUAUAAAGUCAUAAUCCUAUCAUGAACAAUUCAAAAAAUUAUGGCUGAGCGGACGAAAAUUGUGAAUUCUAGGGCCAAGUUGCAAUAACUAGCCUCGUGUUGAUUCAAGCAGACAGAUUUUGAGCACGGAUCAGCCAAGACGGAACAGAUUAAAAGACUAAAGAUCUAUCUGGUUCGUAUACAUAAGGAUUAAAAGCCGGGUUACCAGAGAUUUGGGCAGAUUUAGGCCACUUGCCAACAUGACAGGAACCAAGAGUUUUUACAAACAUGCCAAAGGUACGACACACACGAUACAACUAUUGGCUCGGGAAAUAUGUUACAAGGCACUCAAGGCCCAAACGGUGGAAUCAAAGUUUUUCUCGUAACUAGGUUUUCACAUUUUUCCGGCUUAAGCUUUGUAUUGGUCUUGCCCUGAGAUGCCUCCGGUUGGUCCUCCGUUUGAGCCGUCGGAUCUAUGAUUUGAAGAUCAUCCAAAUUCUAGUUGCAAUGGGACAAGGCUUCAAAAAUGGCUUCCUUGUUCAAUAUAGGCGCGGGUUGACGUUAGGGGCAAAGAGCUGCUUGCGACUCCGCGGAGUUAGACUAACCAAUUUAAAUAGGGGCGGCUGAACUCGGCCGUUGUUUGAGUCAUAUGUUGGAUGAUAGCUCUUCAAAGACAUGCCACUUACAAGCUAAAUGGCCAACAUACGAGCCGCCGAGACGCACUAACGAUAAUCAUCAUCAUUAAGAGCUAAUACAUCCGCCUUCAACUCUCGAAACCCCCCGAUCAUUGCUGCCGGGUCAAGCUCAGCCGAGUAAGGGAGAGCCCGACUCAAAUAAUAUGUGGCUCCGGCACGGGCGGCUGGUCUCUUGAGCUCUCCAGUUUGUUUGGGUAUUGUAGAGAGAAACACCAACACAUCUUUUAUAAUCUUAACCGGCUCUUUGUUCCCCGCGAUGGCUCUGACUGUGCAUAAGCUUCCGCUAUAGAGCUGCUCUAUCAAUACAUAUACAGCUUUGAGCUUUAACAAGCAAUUGUCUUGGAUAUUGCGCGUAUGGCGGCCUGCAAAGACACAAGCACAUAAGUCACCAUGCGAUUGGUCUUAGCGAAUGAAUAUUAAGUGGGUUAAUGAAAGGCUUCCGAACAUACUCACCAAAGAUGGCUUGAGUCAUGUGGUCAAUAUGCCUUUUUAACCCGGAUAGCUCUGUAGAGGCGGUUUUGGGGGGGGGGGUCUUUAGAGUGCUUGGUCAAUGUGGCUUUCUCAAUUUUGAAGGAUCUUUUUUCUUUUUCAAAUCCUUCCUUGAUCUUCUCCAUUUCCUCCAAGGAUAAUCGAAGUUUUUCCUAAAGCUUUGCUCGGUCGGUUUGUCCUUCCUCAAGAGCCUUUGUGAAAUCAACGACUUUUGACUCAGCGGCCUUCAAAGUUUCCUACACAAAAAUUGGAGUAACAAUAAGCCAGAGACGGGACAACAUGAUCACUAUGAUAAUGAAGAUUAUAAACAAGUCCCAAGCAUAUUGCAAGCAAUAUACUUGGCACUUGGGGGCUAAUGCACGUCAGUUAUUUUUUGAACAUAUGAUAGAAAAGACCCAACUCAUCUCAAAAAGAUGAUCCGUCCCUUGGGGCUAUAGGUCAAUUUCUUUCACAAUAAUCAUCAAGAUCCGACUCAUCUCAAAAAGAUGAUUCGGCCCUUGGGGGCUACAGGUCGAUUACUUCAAUCAAAUCAUCAAGACCCGACUCAUUUCAAGAAGAUGACUCGGACCUUGGGGGCUACAGGUCGAAUUCUUCAAUCAAAUCAUCAAGACCCGACUCGUCUCAAGAAGAUGAGUCGGCCCUUGGGGCUAGAGGAGGAUAUAUGGAAUACAGAGUACAUGGCAAGGUGGAGCAUACCUCAUAUUUUAGCUUCAUCAUAUUCACAAGGCUAGUUUCCAUUUGACGGCUUGUAGAAAGACACUCAAGAUAACCAGUGUACAAUUCCUCAGUACAGAAAGUAUCAUAAUUCGGAAGCUCUAGUUUAGCUUUUCCUUUGUCAGACUGGACAACUUCCUCCUUUGUGGCAAGCUUUGCCAACAUAUCAGAGGAACAUCUUCACAGGGUACCUGAGGAAUGGGAGGAUCAGUACCAGUUGCCGGAUCGGUUUCAACAUCCAUAGGCGAAGCAGUAACUAUUUCUAUUUCAGGCUGAGUGUUUGGGAUAUUAUCAUGCCAUACAACCCGCCCUAAGAAGUCGGGUCAAGAUGGUAACAGCUCAACGUUCAUACUCAAGAUGGUCCCUCACCUACAAAGCAGGAGGCGCAAGGCGGUUUAUCAAUGAGAGCCGGCAACGGCCCAAGACACGAAGAUGGCGGGUCAUGGCCCACAAGGGAGAAGGUUGCUAGGAGUUUCCUUGCUUAAGGAGCAAGGCGAGUUAGAGACAUAACCGGUCAUGGAUUAUAAUGUGACCUGGACUCUUGUAAACCUAAGGGUCUCGACCUGUAUAUAAAGGCGAGUCUCUAGGGCUGGUAGACUUAAGUUACAAUCAAUCGAGAGCUAUGUCAGGCAAAAUAGCACCCUUGUAAUCGAUUUCAUCAUCAAUACACACAAAGCAGGACGUAGGCUUUUACCUCCAUCGGAGGGGCCGAACCUGGUAAACUCGUCUCUCGUUCCCGAUUAGCCCCUUUGACUCGCCACAUAGUUGCGAUGGCUUCACCACUAAGUCCUUUCAAGAGGACAUCUGUCGUGACAAAACCAUGAUAGUUGGUGCCCACCAUGGGGCUAGCGCACGAUGGAGUUGAGUUCUCAAAGGGAGCCCUUCUAGGGUUCGGGAGCUACACGGUUGGUCUCAUGACCAAAAGCCACCGUGGGAAGUGCUACAUCGACAAUUUGAGUUGGGGUCCCGAGGCCAGUUCGAUCGAAUCUGGUUACCGGGUCCCCUUCAGCAAGAUUCACGUCUUCAUCGGCAAGAUCGGCGCACCCGUUCCCGAGACGGACAUCAACACCGACAUCGUCGAGCCGGCUUGGUUCGCUCAACCCACCAAGCGUCAGAUCAGGCAGCGUCACGUCUUUGUUGGCUUUACGCAGGGGGUUAGCCUAGCGGAUGACACGGCGAUUGGUGGAGACACCCGUGUCAACUCAGUCGACGAGUCAUCUAUGAGGGACACAAACUCGAUCUGCCCUCUCUAUGAGGGAAGGCUUGGGGGCUUUCCUGAGGCGGCGAUCUUUGAAGGUCUGCAGGAGCCGCCUCGCCAGGUUGCCAUCUAGAUGGUUGGGGCAACGUUGGCUCAGAAUCACCCAGAUGCGGCGGCCGCCAAUGGAGCCAGCGGGUCUGGAAAAAUGCCAGCCCAGGCCAUGGCGGAUCUGAUGGUCGAGAUAUGAAAACUCAUGGCGGUCGCCGUUACUGCUGACAAUCAGGAGGAAAUCAAUGCCGAGCUGGCAAAACUAUGUGAAGAGAUGGCCAAGAUACAGUGUGAGAUCGAUGCUGAGAACACCCGGAUGGCAAAUCAGUAGGUUCAAAUUAACGAAGAGGUGGAACGCUUAAAGGCUGAGGCAUGGCGGCUCGAGCGUCGGCGAGUCUCCUCUGAUGUGGUGCAUCAGAGGAGGCAUUAGAGUCGUUUCCUGACCAAUCUUAACCCCACGCGAUUAUUUGACAGCACACACAUGCCUGGUGUGGAGCAUAACCCGCCUCGACAGACUAAUCAACUAGUGUAGCUGGCUUAGCCAUCGGCGACUCAGCAGUCGACCCAACCUCCGCUGGACAAACUGCUGGCUCAGCGUUUUCAAAGACCGCAGGGUCACUUGUCCAAUCCUCUGGACAACGUGCUGGCUACAACCCAUAAUUUGGAGUCUCUCCCCAUUCAUGGAAACACCCUAAUCGAGGUGGAAGCAAGGAACGUCAUCGAGAUGCUGAAGACGGCGAUGGUUCAACACGCGCAAUUUUCUUAUAGUCGUGAUCAGCUGCAUUACACACCCCACGCUAGUCAUACCAAGAGCCGCAAUGACGAUCCUCCAGCGGUCUCCAGCAGUAGUUGCCGACAGCAGCCUCAAGCCAACCCGCCCGGACUGCCAAUGUUGAAUGCUCAGGCGCUUGUGAAUGCGGCCCGAGCUUCCCAUUAGGUAGAGGCAGAGGCAACGGCGGCGAUGGCGGGACAGGUGGUUCCGACUUACGUCCAGCUGGUGCGUGCAUACAGUGAGCCGGGAGGAAGGAACGUAGGCAUCCCCUGCUUGUCAUUUGCUCUUCACAGCGAGCGCAUGCCCAAAGAUUUUAAAGGCCCUCGCAAGAUGCCCAAUUACACACCCGAUCUUGAGGCAGGUGCGUGGAUUGAGAGUUACAAGCCUGCUAUGGAUAUGCUCGAGGCCAAUAAUGCAGUAUGCGCCAAAUAUUUCAUGAUGAUGUUGGAAGGACCAUCUCGCACGUGGCUGAAAAAUCUACGGUCAAUCCCAUCAACACUUGGGCAGAAUUGAAGGAAAGAUUCAUUAAAAACCCCCCCCCCCCCCCCCUCGUAGAUCUGCAAAAUUGCGUUCAGCGGACGGAUGAGUCGGCCCACCAGUGGACGCGGCGGGUUUCAGAGAUUAUCCACUCCUCGGAUGGCAUCACAGUGACUCGCUGAUCUUGGAGAAUAACUGUCACUUUCAACCUGUGGUAUUUAAGCUUGGUCGUUUUAAGCGAAAGGUGUAGGAUAUGGGCGAGUUGAUGGACACCUUCACCAGAUAUGCCGAGUCAGAUGGCACGAAGGAUGCCGACUCAGAUGAUGAUAAAGCCAGUGAAGUCAAGAAAGGAGAUGGGACCAAGAGUCAUCUUCAAGCUCAGGGACGUAUUGGCAACUAGGGAGGUCAAGGAAAGAGAAGACAGCACGAUAGUGUGUCUGAUUUUGUUGCCAAUACCAAGGACGGGCCAAGAAACCAGCGUCGGAAUAUUCAUCAAAAUAGGGGCUAUAGCGGUAAAAAUGACGUAAUUAUGAGGGUAUGCUCAAGGGACCCUGUCCUAGGCACAGUGCCCCGAAUGCCCCCUCUGACCACUCUUGGGAAAACUGCUUUGUGAUGCAGGAAUUUUGUCUUCAAGCAUAGAGAGAUCACCAAGGGGGAAUGGUGAUGGACCUUCGGGCUAGUUUGGUCCCGGCAGAUCACAAGGUGGCUCGUUUGGCGGUUUCCCUGGUUCCGGCCCUGAUGGGCAAGGAGGCUCGAAUAACAGCGGCGGACAACAUUCUGGCCAAGGUAACCAGCAGUACAAUAAUCAAGGCGGUUUUCAGCGGCACAACAACCAAGGCGGUUUUCAGCAGCUAUUGGGGAUAUACCCCGCAGUGACACCUGGCUUGAUGUAUGACCCGCCAAGAACUUGGCGACUCACCAGCAACUCAUAUUUGACCCCGCAGGCGACUCACACAAACGACAAAGGCCCAAGGCCCGGCGUUCACACUGGCAUAAGGCAUCUCAUAGAGAUCCCAAGAGGGUCGGCUCACAAGAGAAGGCCCAAGAAGAGGAAAGACUCCCACAAGAAGGAAACAAGACCCGGAUUAGGAUUCAAGAGAGGCUAGUCCUAUUCCUACUCCUAGUAGGACUCUACAUGUAAACAUACCCCUUCCACCUAUAUAAGGAGCGGUAAGGCGCCCCAAGAGGGUCAAGAUUCACAACUUAGGUCUAGACAAGACAAAUCAUGAGAUAGACAGAUUAGACACCCACAAGAUUAGAGGUGCCGAGUCUGCACCCUUGUAAUCGAGAUCAUCAUCUUCAUCAAUGAAACACAAGCAGGACGUAGGCUUUUACCUCCAUCGGAGGGGCCGAACCUGGGUAAACUCGCGUCUCUCGAUUUCGACCAACCCCUCUCAAGCCGCCACAUGGUCGCGAUGGCCUCACACCUAAGUUCUCUCACAAGGACAUAUGCCGUGAGAAAACCACGACAUUUGGCGCCCACUGCGGGGCCUGAUUGCACGGUGGUAUUGUGUUCUUGGAGGGACCUCUUCAAGGGUUGAGAAGUUCGCGAUUCAUCGGAUGAAGAAGAGACAACACGAAACUAUUCAGGCACAUACAUGAUUGAGAUCGAGAGAAAAUUUAGGGUUACAUCUAUGCAGCGCAUCGUCGCACAUGAUUUGUUUGAUCGCUUUCUACGGCGGAGUCAACGAGUUUUUUUCCAUCUGAGAUUCAAAUCCUAACCUUCGGCUCGUUUUCGGAUCGGAACGCGCAAAGCAAUCUGCCAACAUAUAUAGGCUGAAGAUGAGCCGACAUGGAACAAAGCCAACAAAUUCAUCGUUUAGUGACAAGUAUCGUGAUUAAUUUUGGAACCGGCGGUACAAAAAGAAGUGAAGUUUGGAUCAUGUAUACGCGCCAUCGCGCGUGACCCGGCGAUCUAUCGAAACCAGAGGAAUACGUGACCAGGUGACCCAUCGAGCCGGAUGAAUUUUACGCCAACCAACAAGAUGAGUCCGACACAGAAUUUACUACAGCCGCCAAACACCACGCCGUACGGCGGAAAGGGAUUUGGAACACCAUGUCAUACACUACAUCAUCUGGCAAGAUCGCGUGGAGAAGCACCACAAGUUUAGAAAAAGAAGUGGGAGGCAGGUGGCCAUGACCCGGAUGCGGAAGUGACCCACGCUCGGUCUCCGUCGUCGUGGCCUCGCGUUGAGUCGGCUCACUGCAUCGCGCGUGCGGCCGCCGCCCUAGCUCGCCUCGUCGUUGUAGCUAUUAGAAACUAAUUAGUAGAUUAAUUAGCCAAGGGAUGUGUCCAACCCCGAAUAGUUGUGUCUCCUCUCUCUCUCUAUUGCCAACAGGCACCUGUUCUGGAGGGAUGCCUCCGAACAGACACCUCUUCUUCGCACCUCUUCCAGAUGUAUAUAUACUUGAGAAUCAAUAGAAAUCAGGACUAAUCGUCCAUUCACUUUCAUUCAAUCUCGUUUUACUCUAACACGUUAUCAUGCACUUUGCUCUUCAUUAGAGAGAUUGGCUAAAACAGAGAAGAACGAGGAUGAACUAGGUAUUAGGCUUCAUCAAUUCACAAAUCAUUUUCGAACGGCAACAGGAAAGGAGGAACAGAGAAGGAGAUGAAGAAAGGAAUUGAAGAGAACACAAGAUCGCCAAAGACUAAAGUCUCCAUGGGAGACUAAACGAACAUCUUGAUCUCUAAUUGCAGCAGGCCCUCAGGCACGGCCGCAGUUCCUUUUCGUAGGAGAUCAAAUGAAUACAGAAGUCUUGAUCUAAUUGCUACUCUACAAUAACAAGGUGUCCCUCUUCCUAAUCUAAUACUGCACGUAGGACGUAGCACAUAAUAAACAAUCUUAGAAUUAUCUCUGGCCUUAGCCAUGGAAGGGUCGAAUGCCUUGCGCAUGCAAAGGCUGCUCUUAGGGNNNNNNNNNNNNNNNNNNNNNNNNNNNNNNNNNNNNNNNNNNNNNNNNNNNNNNNNNNNNNNNNNNNNNNNNNNNNNNNNNNNNNNNNNNNNNNNNNNNNNNNNNNNNNNNNNNNNNNNNNNNNNNNNNNNNNNNNNNNNNNNNNNNNNNNNNNNNNNNNNNNNNNNNNNNNAACAACCAUAAUUUUUGCAAGUGAUUUUUUUUCUUGCAAAUCCAAUUGUAAUUCAACACAUGAAUUAUGAAGUGUCAUUCUCAAUUUGACAACCUGCAUUUAUUUGUGAAUCACAAGGUAUUGAUGGCAUCUACUGCAUAAUUUGCAGAUUAUCCAUCAUUAUUAUGAGGUCUAUAUUUUAUCAUUUAGAUAAGAUGACUACCUUCAAUGUGUUUUUUCAAAUAUUAAUAUUAAUGUGGCUACCUAAAGAUAUAAUAAGAUAAUAUUGGCAUCUACUGCAAAAUUUUGCAGACUACUCACUAUUACUGCAAGGUCUACAUCAUGUCACUUUGACAAAUGAUUGCCUUCAAAGUGAUUUCAUACAUUUAGCAUAACAUAAGGUAAUAGAAUUAUAAACAUCUACUGACUAUAGUCAGACUAUGUUUUCUAUUACUGCGAGAUCUACACCAUAUUGGUGAUUAUCUUUAAAGUGUUAUCCUAUAUAAAUUGAGGCCUACACAUAUGGCUAUAUGGCAUCAGACGUACUAAAAUUUGCUCCUCUAAAGCAAUUGUUGUUGUUCACUAAAAUGAUUUACUAUCAUAGUAAAUUCAUGCAUGAUUAUUGCAUGUUGAAUGGUAUUAUCUACCAAUAUCAAUUAUUCAAGCCUCUUUUUGCUUGAAUAUGUCAUAGGGAACUACAUAAAUAUUUGCAUUUACUUGUGAUUACCUUCUAUUACAUUGGUAAAAUACAUAGCAAUGAAGCCUACGACAAUAUUUCUAAUUAUAGUGUCGUCCAUCCAUCAUGAUGGACCACAUAAUUAUGACAAUGAUUAAGUGUCUCAACACUUUCGCAAGGUCCACAGGACAUCAUGGUUAUAAUUUCAUAGUGACUAACCAAUGUUAAGCAUGCAAGUCUAUAUGUUUUGGAAGUGACUCUAAAGUCACACACUUCCUCAAGAAUGAAGUCCAAAACAUUAGCAAUAAUUUAAUCACAUGUGUUAUAUUGAAGGAUACACCCAGGUUCACCAAGGAUCAUCUUGACCAUGAUUGUUCUCAAACAAAUCAUUUAUUUAUAGAUGCUACUUACUCCUAGAAGUAAAUUAAAUAAAUGCAUUAGCAUUUUCAAGUAACGCAUGGCUCACAUUUUCAAAUAUAGUAAGUACAUGUUAGGUGAUAUUAUUUAUGGUAAGAUGAUUUAAUACAUCAGUCGUUGUAUCCACCCGAGAUAUUAUUGGUACUAUAACCUCACCUUCGGAAUAUGUGUCAUGGCUAUUCUCUUAAUAGCUAAGUAUGAUCAUAUGUAUUUCAUCUCUCACCAACUUCACUUAGUUCUCAAACUAAGUACAUAAUGGAUGAAUAUUUAUUCACCUUGAAUAUUUCCCUUAAGAGAAACAUGCUGCCCCGAGCACAUUUGGAAUGAUCACCCAAUAAUUUUUCAAGACCUCAUGUCUAUCGCAACUUACAAUUUUGGUAAUUAUAAAAUCAACUUGAAGUUGAGAUCUCAUGAUCUGACAUUUUCAUAUGCAGAUCAGGUUGAAAAGCCCUUGAUACACUUUACAUCUCCUUAUGAUGGCAUUACCAUUUUCAUGGUACAGAAACAUGGAAUUUCAUAAAAUCAUGAGAUACACCCAACGAGUGCUAUUCCAUUCUUUGAAAUUCUUGCUAGUAUUGUGAAUAAUAAUCAAGUCAUUGGUCACAAAAUAGAACCAUGAUGUAUUCAAGGUAAAGUGGAGGCUAAAAUACAACCAAAGAUGGAACUUUUCUUAAUAGGGAAUAUAUCGUUUUCAAACGAUCAACGACAACUCUCAAGUUUGUCAAGUGUGUGGUUAUUUAAACAUCGUACCUAUGAUUACCAAACCCUCAAACAUAUGGUCAAACCACACCAUGAUUUUAUUAAAAGGCAAAUAAGUUCAUUGUGGUAUUUGAAAAUUUGCAAACAUACGACCAGAAACUAUUCUGGUAAAUGAUGUUCUCGAAUCUUCAUGAGAAGGAGAACCAAAAUAUAGUGCAAUAAAAGAAUGAUCAAUUCAUUUGUGCCUAUGAUAUGUUUGCAUAACUCGUUUUUCCGUAAUAUGGGAGACCUCAUGUAAUAUCCCGAUUAUUCCCAAAAUAUUGUUUGGCUAUAGUCGUACUACUACAUGUAGUAUAAAUGUCAAAUAUCCUAUUUCUUGGACAUUAUAUUUGAUAACUUUUGCAUGUAACAAUCAAUUCAUACUCAGUUUUGUUGCGUACACAAUAAUUUUCUAAAUCUUACAAAAUAUUUGGUUUUAAGCCUUACAAUCCAGGUUUGGGGUUGUUUUAGAAAAUUAUUGACAAUUCUAUUGGUCACAACUUAACAAGUUGCAAAAUUUCCCAAAUCAUCAGAUUUUAUGUGCACCACAUGUGCCAUAAGGGAAAUUAAUUUAAAGAACUCUCACCUUACAAUUCUAAAUGAGCCAACUCAUUCUUCCUUGAACACAUUUAGAAGAUAUGUGCAUUCUCAACCAUUGUGUGGUAUUUUAUAGAUACUUUAUGGUACUCAUUAAAACAUUUAUAAAAUGAUUUCUGGUGUGUCUCUUGUCACACAAACCAUGAAUGAUAUAACUAAAUCAAUUGCUCAAAUUCUCAAAGUAAGAGCAAGUUAUCCUAAACAAGGAAUAAAUCCAUUCGAAUGGAAAACUUUGUUGAACUCAUUUCACAAGAAAUAUCUGAUUAUAUAUAAUACUUUAUGUACAUACCCAAAAUUGUUUAGUUCAAUAUCUUAUCAAAGAUAGUGAAAUUAAUAAUAUGACCAAACUUAUAGAAUCAUGAUUUACUAGCCUCAUGCUAGACAAAUACGGCAUUACACACCAUAAGUAUGAUAUAAAUCAUACCAACUGCAUAGCAUACUACUUUCCCCUUUUAGUACUUACGUGGAAAUCAACAAAGUAUUUUCUAUCUGCGAUAAUUCGGUCACAUACCGAUAUCACCACUCCAGCAUACAUCAGUGGGCUCUCACAGAAAAUUAGGGAUCUAAGUGAGGAAUGACAAUUUAUCCGUCAAUCAAAAUUAUUCAUAGCCCGUAUGUUGAUUGCAUCAGCAAUAAGGACAUUUCUGGCAUUAGGGGGAGAUAAGUACCACAAAGAAUGCCAAGAAAUAAAUUAGGAAUGUUAUUCACAUUCAGUCCUUAUAUCCACGUACUCAAAGAAUCUGAACAAGAAGUUUAGAAUCACAUAUUUGCAACACAUUGCAAAUCUGCCACAUACAUUUACUGAUGACAAAGGUGCACUCAAUUUUAUAUUCCUGCAGUAAAGUGUCAGAAAGAGUGGAGGUACCUGAUAAACCACUCUUCUCCCAAAAUGAGAGCAAGAGGGGGAGAAAUCUGACCACACGAGAUAUAAUCUCGCAUAUGCUUCCAAGGAAAUAGAGGAAAUCAAAUCCUCAACUAGUAAAUGUAAUUCAACAUCAAGUUGAAAGACACCUCACUGGAUGCUCAUCAUCCAAAUCCUGACAUAAAUGUGCACAAAUGUUUUGGUGUCGGGACAUCGAAACACCUUGACUCGAUUGUUGUAGGAAAUCACAAGGAGUUAAAAGGAAUAAAUACAUUUCCACAAAUUUCAUCGGUUCCAUCAGAAUCAUAUAAAAUAAAGACUACAUUUGUCGACAUAUAUUUAUUCUCAAAAUUGCUAAAACCUUUUGGGCCCUGAACCAAAAUCCAUGGUAGAGUGCCUCUUGCACUCAUAUUGUUUCACAUAAAAUAAAGCAAGUAAUGAAGAAUAGCCUCGCUCUACAAAUGAGUGGUAUUUACCACAGUAAUACCUACUCCUCAUAAGUAUCUUCCAUAUGGAAUACUAAAAACUUCUCAUUCAUAGACAAAUUCAAUGAGGUGGUGAGAAAGCGAGGCUUGUAGCAAAAGGGUUCACGCAGAGACCCGACAUCAAAUUAUGAUGUAACAUACCCUCUUGGUAUGAGUGGAAUUAAGUUUCGAUAACAAAUAUCAUUGGCAGUACAAAUAAUAUUAUCCAUGUAGUUAAUGGAUGAAGUGACUACAUACUCAUAUGGGUUACUCAUUUCGGAAAUUUAUAACGAAGUACCUCAAGGGCUUACAAUUCCGAAUCCAAAAUAAAUCGCAACAUAUAUGUGUAAAAUUUCAGAAGUCACUCUAUGGCUUGAAAUAGUCGGAAAUCAUAUGGUACUACCGACUAAAUGAGUUCCUUCUUCAAAGGAUUACUCAAAGGAUGAUAAUUUGUUUAUGUGUUAAUAAAGGUAUCCCAAAUUUGAAUUCCUUAUAUCACCUCAGUGUAUAUCGAUGAUUUCAUCAUCAAUGUCUCUACAAGACCUAAACAUACACAAAAUCAUCUCAAGACGGAAAAUUUGGAUUUAACCAAAUUUAGCUUAAGUUUGCAACUUGAGCAUUCUAUCAAGAAUUAGUAUCAGCCUACAUAUAUCCAAAACAUAUACGAGAAGUUCAGUGUGAAUAUAUCAUAACAACAAAAGACAUGUAUGGUCAUACUACCUUUGAUAAGGUACAAAUCUAUUCAUACCUAGGGGUGAUAAUGAAGUGAUACUAGGACCUGAAGUUCUAUAUAUCACUAAUGUCAAAGCACUCAUAUACUUGCAAACUACGUCAGGCCUGACACUAUAUUUGCUAUCUUUAUUCAGAGUGCAACCCCCAACAAAAGGUAUAUGGUUGAUAUAAGUAAUAUCAUCUUAUAUCUGAAGAUUACACUAAAUAUUGAAUAUUUCCAUCAGGAAAUAGAGGAUAUGACCAUGAUAUGAUGUAAUGAUAUUGGCUCUUUAUUUGAUCCCAACGAUGCCAUAUCAAUGACUGAAUUUGCUGGAAUAGCCUUCACAUGGAAUUCAUAUAAAUGGAUUUUAGUGGUUAUUUUCAGUUAUCAUUCUAACAUAAUUGCUUUAUCUAAAGGCAUUGCAAAAUGUGCAUAACUUAGUAGAAUGGUUAACCACACUCAAAAUCAUGUGGUUGAGAUUCAUCAGAAUCACAUAACUUGAUUUAUCAAGAUACUUCCACUUGUGUUACUCAAUACCUAUAGGUUAUAUGAAGAGCAAUAUCAUAAAUCACAUUGCUCGGAAAUUACUUAGCCUCACGGAUUAUAGAAAAGUGAGGAAAUAAUUUGCAAACAUACUACUGUUAUAAUCCAACAGAUUAUACACAAUCUCAUGUUCAUGUCAAUGGAAUUGGUAUGAGACAUCCUUCAUAUUUGCAAAGUUCAGGGGGAGUACUCUCCCAAACUAUAACCUAUUAACAAUCAUCAGAUUGCAUAUAUUGUACUCUUUUUCCCUUGAUGAGUUUUCCCUAUUGGUUUCUCAUAAAAGGUUUUUAACGAGACAAUAUAAACACAAGUGUCUUUAUAUGCCAUAUCAUUUUCUCCUUGUAUUUUUCCCAUUGGGUUUUAAAGGAGUUUUCAAUGGCAUGUACAAUUGCACUUUUUCCCUUAUGUGUUUUCUCUCAAGUUUCUCAUAAUGGUUUUUAGUGAGGCAAUAUCUUCUCAAAGAUCAUAUGUCAUACUUUCUAUUUUCCCUACCAGGGUUUUUAAAGGAAGUACUCAAGACAUAUUAAUUUUUCUCUAAACUUAUCAGUGAGUUUUCUCCUUCUUCAAAGGAUUUCUCAUAUGAGUUAUCAAGAGACAAUGAUCAUCAUAUGUUGCAUCAUUUUCUCCUUAUUUUUCCCACAGGGUUUGAAGGAGUUUUAGCAACAUAUCUACUCUAUUCUCCUCAUAUUUUUCCCACACGGUUUUUGGGGGAGACUCUCAAGAUUAUCUGGAAGAUUUCUCAAGAUGGAAGAUAUAUAUGCAAGAAGCUUUCAACGAUUAAACAUUCAAGGAGCGGUGUUGUACAAGGGGGAGUGUUAGAAACUAAUUAGUAGAUUAAUUAGCCAAGGGAUGUGUCCAACCCCGAAUAGUUGUGUCUCCUCUCUCUCUCUAUUGCCAACAGGCACCUGUUCUGGAGGGAUGCCUCCGAACAGACACCUCUUCUUCGCACCUCUUCUAGAUGUAUAUAUACUUGAGAAUCAAUAGAAAUCAGGACUAAUCGUCCAUUCACUUUCAUUCAAUCUCGUUUUACUCUAACACGUUAUCAUGCACUUUGCUCUUCAUUAGAGAGAUUGGCUAAAACAGAGAAGAACGAGGAUGAACUAGGUAUUAGGCUUCAUCAAUUCACAAAUCAUUUUCGAACGGCAACAGGAAAGGAGGAACAGAGAAGGAGAUGAAGAAAGGAAUUGAAGAGAACACAAGAUCGCCAAAGACUAAAGUCUCCAUGGGAGACUAAACGAACAUCUUGAUCUCUAAUUGCAGCAGGCCCUCAGGCACGGCCGCAGUUCCUUUUCGUAGGAGAUCAAAUGAAUACAGAAGUCUUGAUCUAAUUGCUACUCUACAAUAACAAGGUGUCCCUCUUCCUAAUCUAAUACUGCACGUAGGACGUAGCACAUAAUAAACAAUCUUAGAAUUAUCUCUGGCCUUAGCCAUGGAAGGGUCGAAUGCCUUGCGCAUGCAAAGGCUGCUCUUAGGGNAGCUGAAGAAACUUUUAUGGGCACGAUACUCAAGCGACCCUCUUUUGUGACUCAUGCAGGCGAUUUGCUAGGGAGUCGCUCAUUUCCUUGGCAGCUGCAAGCUCGAAGAUGACCUAUGCCUAAAUAAACAAGAUACAGAAAGAUAACAACCCGGUGGCACAACUUCGUGGGACGACCACAUCGACCAAGGCAAUGUUAUGCUGGCCAAAACAAUGCAAAGGCAGCAGUGCUUUUCCAAUCACGGAGUCUACCAGAGCUUAGAGGAGCCGGCGUUUCUAAGCACAUGAGACAAGAGGAACAGAUUCAGAUUCCUUCCGAACUCAAGGAUCAGGCUUAUUUAUCAGUUAAUAGCAUGAGACGGAGUCCUGAAAGAUUAGCAAACAACACUACAGCAACUUGUGUGCCAUCACUACUCUGAUCAAAACCUAAGACAAAAAGCAAAGUACACUGAUCAUAUCGGUGAGGCUACACAUCUGCAUUCACCCGAUAAAAAUCUCAGGUGAUAUUCAUCCUAUCUUUUUUUUCACCUACAUAUUAAUUCAUCCGAGAACGAUUACUCUAGCGUAUAGUAUUUUUUACGCAGGACAAUUAUUCAUUACAAAAGCGGUGGCAUAUUGCGAGUAUGAAGCUCGUGUCAAUCAAAGCCACGGGUGACUCACUAUCCUUGUCGGCCUACAAUGUCAUGGGCGAUUCACCGUCUGCGGCGGUCUACAACAACACGGGCAACUCACCGUCCAAGGCGGCUUAUGCUACUGCAAAAAAAGAGCUUCCAACGGCGCUAGAAAUAGGAGUAUUUACGGCGCCAGAAAUCCUUCUGCUACGGCUACGCCUUAAGGGACUUCCUAGGCAUAUAUGCAAAGGAUUUCCCCGUGGCCUUGGAGCCUUGUGUUGGUGUUCCCUCGAAGCGUAAAGGGUGAUGUAGCGCAGUGGUGGUAAGUAUUUCCCUCAGUUUUGAGAACCAAGGUAUCGAUCCAGUGAAGGAGUAUCACAAGAGCCUGCACAAACACAAAAAGCUUGCUCCCAACGCUAUGAAGGGGUUGUCAAUCCCUUAUAGAUUGUUCACCAAGUGAAAACUGAAAGCAACAAAGUAACAAAGCAAAGUAAAAGCGAAAGUGGAAACGAUAGGUGUGAAUAGACCCGGGGGCCGUAGUGUUUCUAGUGGCUUCACUCAUGAAAGCAAGUAGACGAUGGGUGAACAAAUUACUGUCGAGCAAUUGAUAAAACCGCGCAAAGUCGUGACGUCAUCUAUGGCAAUGAUAAUAUCUAUAGGCAUCACAUCCAAAACAAGUAGACCGAUACUUUAUGCAUCUACUACUAUUACUCCACACGUCGACCGCUAUCCAGCAUGCAUCUAGUGUAUUAAGUCCAAAAGAACAGAGUAACGCCUUAAGCAAGAUGACAUGAUGUAGAUGGACAAUCUCAUAUCAACGACAAAGCCCACCUUGUUACCCUUGAUGGCAACUACUCAAUGUGUGCCUUGCUGCCCCUACUGUCACUGGGAAAGGUCACCACAUGGUAAGAACCCAAAACCAAGCACUUCUCCCAUUGCAAGAAUCAUAGAUCUAGUUGGCCAAACAAAACCCAAGACUCGGAGAGACUUACAAGGAUAUCAAAUCAUGCAUAUAAGAAAUCAACAAAGACUCAAAUAUAUAUCAUAGAUAAUCUGAUCACAAAUCCGCAAUUCAUCGGAUCUCGACAAACACACCGCCAAAGAAGAUUACAUCGGAUACAUCUCCAUGAAGAUCAUGGAGAACUUUGUAUUGAAGAUCCAAGAGAGAGAAGAAGCCAUCUAACUACUAACUACGGACCUGUAGGUCUGAAGUGAACUAGUCAUGAGUCAUUGGAGGGGCGAUGAUGAUGAUGAUGAAACCCUCCAACUCCAAAGUCCCCUCCGACAGGGCACCGAGAAGGGUCUCCAGAUGAGAUCUCGCGGAAACGAAAGCUUGCGGCGGCGGAAAAGUAUUUUCGUGGCUCCCUUGAUUUUUUUUAUGAUUUUUAGGGAAUAUAUAGGUGCAAGAUCUAGGUCAGGGGGGCGCCAGGGAGGCCACAAGCCUGCCCACCGCCGCAUCCCCCCUGGUGGCGGAGUGGGGGCUUGUGGGCUCCCUGUAGCCCUCCUGGCUUGGCCCACAGGCCCCCUGAUCUUCCUUCGUUCGGGAAAAAAUCAUUUCAGGGAUUUUAUUCCGUUUGGACUCUGUUCCAAAAUCAGAUCUGAAAAGAGCCAAAAACACAGAAAAAACAGGAACUGGCACUUGGCACUGAAUUAAUAAGUUAGUCCCAAAAAAUAUAUAAAAGGUACAUAAAACAUCCAAAGAUGACAAGAUAACGGCAUGAAACCAUCAAAAAUUAUAGAUACGUUUGAGACGUAUCAGCUUACAAUGACGCGGCCAACUCUCAUGUCCGCGUGACCAGGGCGACUUACAAUGACACGGCCAACUCUCACGUCCGUGUGAUCAAAGAUGGAUUACAAUGACACAACCGAUGCUCGGGUCCAUACAACUCUCGCAUUCCAUAUCAACAAGUCGGUGCAGUGCUCGCCUUUACGAGCCAGCCAACAGACGGACACAAGACACCUCUCCCAUGGUCCGUUUGAUAUUAACUCACCGGUGCAGUGCUAGCCUGUAUGAGCCGCCCAACAGACUGAUGCAAAACGCCAGCCCCGCGGUCCGGAUGACAUCAACAUAUCGGUGCAGUGCUCGCUUGGAUGAGCCGCCCAACACACACGCGCAAACUGCCGUCUGUUCUCCAUCAAAUAUAUCGGUGCAGUGCUCACCUAUGCGAGCCGCCCAACGGACACAUGCAAGUCGCCUCUGCGGACCAUCUCCCCCAACAACAUUGGAGCAAAGAAAAAAAUGACAUUCAUGUCUUACACAUCAUCACCAAAACACGGACCAGCUCUAAACUUGCGUCGGGUUGCUCAAUGAAUAGAAACAUUGGCCAAUGCUAUCUAUUUCAGGAUAUCAAAAGUAACACGAGAGUUUGUCAUGAAGGAUCCAUCCCUGAUGAAGCUACAGUUGGAGCCAGUCAUCAUUGAGCCGACAAUUCAAAGCAAUAGAAAAAGAAAAGGAAAGUGGCCUUGGAGGAACCGCGAGAGCCGGACUACCUGAGAAAUAAGCAUGGGUCAAAAGUCCAUUAUUCACCAUCAACCCUAUCUCGGUUUAUGUCACAAUCAAGUAUGGACAUUCUCAAGCCGCCUCCUUGAAGUCGACUUAAGACUCGGGGGCUACACAGGCAUAGACUCGGCAGAUUCAACCGGGCUGAAUAAUUCAAGAACCACGGGUCAUUAAAGGAAAAUUAAGCCGGUCUCGAGGGCUGAUGCCUCAUUGACGAGAAGAUUUAAAGAUCACCUAAGAAGACAAGUCGCCAUGAUGCGACCACCCAAACAUGGGUGCCCGACCUUAUUGGCGGAUGAUUCAUAAGUCGCCAAAGAGGAUGGCGCUACCAGUAUCAAAGAGGGUGAGCCGCCAUAUUGCACUCGUCCAAACAUGGGUGCUGGUAAGCCAAGGAGGACCAAACAGUUGCCAUGAGCAUGGUUCAAACAUAGGCACCCAAUUAUGUUCUUGAGAAUUAACUCGGCUUACUUGGGGGCUACUAGCUUCCCAAGUCGUUUUGCAGUAAGAGCGUAAACUUCUGCAAUCCUAUGCUCGACUUUUCCCUGAUCAUAGGUCAUUUGGGGGCUUCCGACUCACUGAGUUUAGCCUGAAUACCCUCUUGGCUAGCGAAAAUUUAUCGCAUUACAAUGGUUAUAUUGGACCGUAUGUUUGGCGACUCACCCUUCACGCCCCUUAGAAAUCUUGGCGUGCCAAUCCAAAUUGGACCCUGAACUCCCAACGUUAAAACGAGUGGAGCUGGUGGGAGUCGGCAUAUGGAAAAUAGACAAACCAUGGGUUCACUGAACCUUCUUCACUAAAGCUUGACUCGCGCCUGAUUAGCCGGUCUAAACAACUAAGGUUGUUGCAAAAGCCUCUUUAGGGUAGCACUAGAGCAUUGCAAGCUCAUCCUACCCUGCCGUGACUCACUGAGCCGGCCGUCCUGACUCACUGAGCCGGCUUAACCUGUUUUGGGUACCACUAGAGCCUUGAGAGCUCGACCUACCCGCCGUGACUCACUGAGCCGUCUGCCAUGACUUACUGAGUCGGUUUAUUUAAAAUAAUUUGAUGACAUACUAUGGUGUUGCCACCAUUAUUCUAUCAUAUACAUGCAUCAUAUUGCACUGCAUCAUGCAUCAUACAUACAUAUCAUGACGGUCUUAAACCAGGUCAAAGCAUAAUUUUUUGCAUGAGCAAAUAUAUCUUUAAUAGCCAAUUUGGUUGGAUUUUCAUCAUCAUUCAUCAUAACCAGUGUUAAAUGAUUGGGGUUUUUAAGCCAGCUAGGAAGAAUUGACUAUUAUCGAAGAGUCGCCCUAUCACAUAUAAUGUCGGGUCAUCUAAUUGACCGGCUCUUUGAUUUCUUCAACUUGUGCUCUGUAGUAAACUACAACACUUAUGGAUUUCUCAACCAUGUAUUUGUGGGGUUACAUUGCAACCACGGCCAAGGAUUUCUUUCACCACAAAGGUAUCAUGAGAGUGGAUAUGAUUCUACAAUGGAAGGAAUAGUCCCAAGUCACUGCAGGCACACAACUCGGCACUUGGGGGCUACAUUACUCAAAUCAAGAUUACAUUGAAGUAUGGAAGUCCCAUGUCGCUGCAAGCAUGCACCAUGACACUUGGGGGCUAAUGCAAACUGCUCUUUCAAAUCAUCACAUCAUGAAUAGACCCGGCUAUUUCAAGGAGAUAAGCCGGCCCUGGGGGGGCUACAGGUCGCUCUUUAUUCAAGUAUGGAUUCAACGAAGAACCGGCUCAUCAUUUUUGUAUUGAUCCGGCCCUUGGGGGCUACGCAUUGCCCCUCAAGUUUACAUAGUCAGAUCUACAAAGUCCCUCCUCAAUGUUGCAUAAUGACCCGACCCUUCGGGGCUACAUCAUAUGAUGUUUUAUUUUCAAAGGAGAAGAACGUGGAAGUCCCGAGUCGUCGCAAGCAAUCGACCCGUCACUUGGGGGCUACACUAUUCGGAUCAUAAUUUCUAAAGUCCCAGGUUGUUUUAGGCAAGACAACCCGGCACUUGGGGGCUACAGCACUAAGUUGUUUCAUAGAUCAUGAGGUUCAAAUUGAAGACGCAGACCAUCACACACUGAUGACCUGGCCCUUGGGAGCUACACCAGCUGAAGCUUUAUAAAUGUAAGAUGAUUACAAGUCCCAGGCUGCUGCAAGGAAGACAACUCGACACUUGGGGGCUACAUGGUCAAAGAUAUUAUUGAAAAACACCAAAUCACCAUAAACUGAUAAACUUGGAGUUUGGGGGCUACAGGUAAUAUGGAUAUAUCAAAAAAUUGAAGAGCACAUUUCAUUUCGUCAUGGAGGUGAAGUACUGAGAGACUGGAUCAACAUAUUUUUAUCUAGUUGAAGAAUUGAAAGACCGGCUCAACAUCACACGGAUUUCUUUAUCCCCAAUAAUUCGAUAUAGUCAAUUGGAGUUCAGUUGUUUGAUGGGGCAUUACCAAUAAUCAUGACCCGCCAUUAGCAAUCAUGACCUGCCAUUGUCAAUCAUAACCUGCCGAAGCAAGAGAAGUCAGUUCAACAUUGUGUGGAUUUCUUAUUCCCCAAAUUUUCAUCAAGCCAAAGUAUUGGAGGCCGAUUCAAUGGCAUAUGUAUUUUAUUAUGGAGGACACGUACCUGCAAAAUGAUUUAGGACAGUUCAAAGAACAAACCCAGAUUUUUCAAGGAGCCACUCAGUAAAUCAAGCCGGCCAGAGGAGCAAACCGGUCCCUUAACAUAUUUAUUAUUCUUAUUUCAGGAGCUUACCAUGAAUAGAUUCAAGCUAACCUGGGGGCUAAUGUCGGGGAUAUACCCCGCAGUGUAACCCGACUUGAAGUAUGACCCGCCAAGGACUUGGCGACACACCAGUGACUCAUAUUUGACCCCGCAGGCGACUCACACAAACGACAAAGGCCCAAGGCCCGGCAUGCACCAUGGCAUAAGGCGGCUCAUAGCCCAAGAGGGCCGGCUCACAAGAGAAGGCCCAAGAAGGGGAAAGACUCCCACAAGAAGGAAACAAGACCUGAAUUAGGAUUCAAGAGAGACUAGUCCUAUUCCUACUCCUAGUAGGACUCUACAUGUAAACCUACCCCUUCCACCUAUAUAAGGAGGGGUAAGGUGCCCCAAGAGGGACAAGAUUCACAACUUAGGUCUAGACAAGACAAAUCAUGAGAUAGAUAGAUUAGACACCCACGAGAUUAGAGGUGUUGAGUCUGCACCCUUGUAAUCGAGAUCAUCAUCUUCAUUAAUGAAACACAAGCAGGACGUAGGCUUUUACCUCCAUCAGAGGGGCCGAACCUGGGUAAACUCGCAUCUCUCAAUUCCGACCAACCCCUCUCAAGCCACCACAUGGUUGUGAUGGCCUCACACCUAAGUUCUCUCACAAGGACAUAUGUCGUGACAAAAUCACUACAGCAGCCAAACAACCAGGGCUGCUUGCAGAGCAACCCCAAGCAGCUGAAUACUGGUCAGUACCGUGUUUUCAGCACCAACACGUGCAAAAGGGACAAGAAAGUCAAAUAGAGGGCGAUAAACAUGGCAGAGCCGGCGGUUCCCAGAUAUCUCAAUUGGUCUGAAUAGCCCAUCACAUGGAGUAGAGCCAAUCACCCACCCCAGGUUGAUAACCUUAGCGACUUAGCAUUGGUGGUGGCGCCACAGGUUGGGGGAUCCACCCUCUCCAAGAUUCUCAUGGAUGGAGGCAGCAGCAUCAACAUCUUGUAUUAUUGAUAACUUCCGGCGAAUGAAUUUUUCCGAGAGCGACUUGAUGUCGUUGACCACGAUCUUUCAUGGCAUUGUCCCAGGCAAGUCAGUGUAUCCAUUUGGGCGGAUCAAGUUAAAUGUGGAUUUUGGUGAUGAAUAUUAUUAUAGGAGCGAGGCUCUGAUGUUUGAGGUCAUCAAGAUCAAGAGUCCUUAUCAUGCUCUGUUGAGCGGUCGGCUUACGCCCGCUUCAUGGUCCGACCCUGCUAUAUGCACCUCAAGCUCAAAAUGCUGGUUCUUAAAGGUACUAUCAGAAUCAAUGGGGACCGAAAGAUAGCAUGGGAAUGCGAAGAAGGAGACGUUGCCUACGCUGAGUUGGCAUGCGCUGCUGAAGAGUUGAAGUUUCACAAAGCCAAUGUAGACCCAGCUGACAUGAGUCCGCUCAAAAAACCAACUGUUGAUUCUGAGCCUCCCCUCAAGUUCAAGCCGGCAGAUGACACCAAGCAAGUUGGUUUCACCCCAGGCGACUCUUCUAAGAAGUUUACUAUUGGGACAGGCCUCGGUCCCAAAUAGGAAAGCGUUCUCAUCGAGUUCAUCCGUGAGAAUAGGGACAUCUUUGCAUGGAAGCCUUCUAACAUGCCAGGAGUACCGAGAGAAUUCGUUGAGCACCACCUCAAUGUGGAUCCCAAGAUGAAGUCGGUCCAACAGUACCUCCGUCGUUUUAACGAGGAGAGACGCAACGAAAUUGGGGAAGAAGUCCCCUGCCUCUUAGCCGCCCGCUUCAUCAUCGAAGUUUUUCAUCCUGAGUGGUUGGCUAACCCGGCCUUAGUUCUCAAGAACAACGACACUUUUCGCAUGUGCAUAAAUUAUACAGAUCUCAACAAAGCUUGCCCGAAGGAUCCUUUUGCCCUCCCCCGUAUCGAUUAAAUCAUUGACUCUACGGCGGAUUGUGAUCAUUUGUGCUUUCUGGAUGCGUACAAUGGUUACCACCAGAUCAUGAUGGCCAAAGAGGAUCAGGAGAAGACGGCUUUCAUAACUCCCUACGGCGCUUUCUGCUAUGUGUCUAUGCCCUUUGGUCUUAAGAGUGCGGGGGCGACUUAUCAAUGCUGCAUUCACUGUUUGAACAGUCAGAUUGGGCGCAAUGUUCAUGCCUACGUGGAUGAUAUCAUGGUGAAAUCCCAGAAGAAGGAGAUGCUUUUAAACGAUCUCAAGGAGAUGUUUAACAACCUUUGUGUGUACCUAAUGAAGCUUAACCUGGCCAAAUGUGUUUUGGAUGUUCCUGCAGGCAAGUUAUUGGGCUUCCUGGUGUCAGAGCGAGGUAAUGAAGCUAACUCGGAUAAACAAUCAAGGCAAUAACCUUGCUUGGUAAGCUGGCCAACAUCAACCAAGUCCAGCGCAUGGCGGGUCGUAUUGCGGCGUUGAGCCGUUUCAUAAGUCGCCUCGGUGAGAAGGACAUUCCCCUUUACCAGUUGCUCAAGAAAACGGAUCAUUUUGUUUGGACGGAUGCGGCCAACGAAGCUUUUCAAGCCCUCAAGAAACAACUUGUUGAGCCGCCUGUUUUAGCCGCCCCGACAGAUAAGGAACCUAUGCUACUUUACAUUGCUGCUAAUUCAAAGGCAGUAAGUGUGGUGGUGGUUGUUGAGCACAUGGAAGAAGGCAAAGAAUAUCUGGUUCAGCGGUCGGUGUAUUUUGUUAGUGAGGUGUUGACUUUGUCUAAUCAAUGGUACCCGCAUUGGCAGAAGCUAGUCUUUGGGAUUUUUAUGGCAAGCCGGAAGUUGAAGCAUUACUUUCAGGAGCACCCAAUCACUGUGGUCAGUUCAACGCCAAUUGGGGACAUUAUACAGAACCGCAAAGCUACUAGGUGGAUUGCUAAGUGGGCAAUUGAGCUUGGUCCCUGCCAUGUGAAGUAUAUGCCUCGCACGGCUAUCAACUCUCACGCUUUGGUGGAUUUCAUCAAUGAUUGGACCGACAUGCAGAUUCCAGAAGAGAGACCCGAUAACACGUACCGGACUAUCCACUUUGACGGUUCUAGGCAGUUGGAAGGCUCGGGAGCUGGCGCAGUGUUAUCUUCCCCAUGAGGUGACAAGUUUUGCUAUGUCUUGCGCCUCAUGUUUCCUUGCACCAACAACGCGGCUGAGUGUGAGCCUCUGCUCCAUGGGCUUAGAUAAUCUAAGGAGAUGAACCUCAGCCUGUUCAGAUGUUUGGGUGACUCAGAUUUAGUGGCUCAACAAGUCUCUAGAACUUGGGACUCCAAAGAUCCACUCAUGGCGGCUUAUAGGCAUGCAGUAACCGAGGUGGCGGGUCAUUUUAACGGCUACGAGGUUGAUCAUAUUGAUCUUGAACAGAAUGAGGCGGNNNNNNNNNNNNNNNNNNNNNNNNNNNNNNNNNNNNNNNNNNNNNNNNNNNNNNNNNNNNNNNNNNNNNNNNNNNNNNNNNNNNNNNNNNNNNNNNNNNNUUUUUCUUGCUUGACAAGAUAUGGUUCCCGACAUUCCGUGACUAAGGAACAAACAAAAUGCAAAGAAAAAUCGACAGGAAUUUCAAUGCCACCUUGAUUCAAAUUCUUUAUAGUUGAAGAAGUCAUGCUAUGUUCUCAUCAUUGAUUUUAAAUGGAUGAAUUUGAAUUUACAGGAAAAAGGGGAAAAUCAUUUUAUUCCCUCUCAUUCAAAAGUUUUGAAAAAUUUCAAACUUCACUCAAGUUUCAAUCACUCAAACAAACAAACNNNNNNNNNAUCUAAUAAUUAUAUUAACAUUCCAAAAUUUGGGAUGUUACACCCAACUACUGGAAAUCAUUAAGGUAAGCCCAACCAUAGCGUUAAACAUACAGUCCUCUUUACUCCCAUACAGGCACAACUCCCUUACUCGGAUGUAAGUUUCUUUCACUCUCGCCAACCACUAUAAGUGAAUCAUGAAUAUAUUGCAAACCCUUCAGCGUGUAUCCUUCAUGUGUGUGCAUCACUAAAAGCACCUUAUCAAUACACAACCCAUAUCAAAAACACCAUCUCACAAUUAACCCGUAGGACAAAACGGAUAUACUCAAACAUCAUAGGAUAACCAUAUAUCAUUGCGAAAUAGUAUGUAGCAUUGGGCAUCAUGUUUAAGUACAGAGUUACAUUGUGAAAAUAUGUGUUAUACCGCUGCAUAGAGGGGGAGAGAUUGGAAUUGAAGGUGGCAAGAUUGUUGUUGUAGAUUACCAUCAUGCUCCUUGCCCCGGCGGCACUCCGGCGCCACCAUGAGAGAGGGGGCAGAGCCCGCUCCUUCUUCUUCUUCCUUGGACUCCCCCUAGAUGGGAGAAGAGUUCCUCCUAUCGCCCAUCGCCUCAAUGGCGGCGGAGGGGCAGGAGCCCUUCCAAGAUUGGAUCUCCCACUCUGUUCUCUUUUGUUUCACAUUCUUGUUUUCUCGCCCUUCACUGUUUAUUAAAUUCCUGGAGAUCCGUAACUCCGACCGGGCUAAAAUUUUCAGGGGAUAUUUAUCCAUAAAUUAGGUUUCUUGUUCUCCAAGGAGAGCCACAACUGACUUAAGGGGUGCCCACUCGACACCACCCCGCGCCAGGGGUCCCAGGCGCACCCUGGUGUCAAGUGGAGGUCAUGGGCCUCCGUUUUCCUUGGUUCCACCUCCCAAAAAUCACAUAUAUUCCAAAAUAAUUAUUUGUAAAUUUUUAUCGCGUAUGGACUUCAUUUGAUAUGGAUAUUUCGAUAAACACAAAAAACAUGUGACAAACAGGAACUCGCACUUGGCACUGGAUCAAUAUGUUAGUCCAAUAAAUCAUAUAAAUUGUUGCCAAAAAUAUGUGAAAGUUGUAUAAUAUUGACAUGGAACAACCAAAAAUUAUAGAUACGACGGAGAUGUAUCACCAUCCCCAAGCUUAAUUCCUGCUCGUCCUGGAGUAGAUAAAUGAUAAAAAAGAUAAUUUUUAAUGUGGAAUGCUACCUAGCAUGAUCUUGAUCAUAUAUCUAAUCAUGGCAUGAAUAUUAAGAUACAAGUGAUUCAAGGCAAUAGUCUAUCAUUUGACAAAAAAAGGCAUCCAUACCCAGGUUUACUAGCAAACAGUCAUGUCCUUUCAAAAUAACAAUGCUAAAUAAAGCUAUCCGUACAAAAUCAUAUAGCCUAUCAUGCUUGGUCUUCCUAGCAUAAGGUAUAAAUCAUGAUCACCCUAGUGUCAAAUCAAGCAAUUGGAUCGUUGUUUUUAACGCGCUUCAGCUUUUUAUUACUCACUCGAUACAUGAGCGUGAACCAUGGAUAUAUCAUAAAGGUGGAAUAGAAUUUCGUGGUAGGUUUCAAAGGGGGUAAAAGUGAAGAAGAAAGUCUCGCAUCAACUCAGCAUAUCAACGGGCUAUGAAGAUGUCCAUCAAUAGAUAUCAAUGCGAGGAGUAGGGAUUGGCAUGCAACGGAUGCACUAAGAGCUAUAAGUGUAUGGAAUCUCAACGUGAAAACUAAGUGGGUGUGCUUCAAACUCUAAUUAAAAAUUCCCAAUAGUUUAUGAAAGUGACAACAUAGGAGACUCUCCAUAUGAAAAACAUGGUGCUACUUUGAAGCACAAGUGUGGAAUUUGCAUGCUCCUUCUCUUUUUUCUCUCAUUUUUUCUUUCUUUCUCUUNNNNNUUCUCUUUUUUUGUGGUGGGAUCAUUUGGCCUCCCCCAUUUUUCAUUUUUCGUUCGGAGUCUCAUCCCGACUUGUGGGGAAAUCAUAGUCUCCAUCAUCCUUUCCUCACUGGGAAAAUUCUCUAAUAAUGAUGAUAAUCACGCUUUUAUUUACUUACAACUCGAUACCUAAAACAAAGUAUGACUCUAUAUGAAUGCCUCUAGCAGUGUACCAAGAUGUGCAGUGAUCUAGCGUAGCAAAAUAUUAUAAAAAAUGAACAAGCCAUGUAAAUAUCAUGCUAGCUAUCUUAUGAUCAUGCAAAGCAAUGUGAUAGUGGAAGUACAAGUCAUAUGAAGUGACGGCAGAGGUUGCAUGGCAAUAUAUCUAGGAAUGGCUAUGGAAAUGCCAUAAUAGGUAGGUAUGGUGGCUGUUUUGAGGAAGAUAUAAUAAGGCUUAUGUGUGAUAGAGCGUAUCAUAUCACGGGGUUUGGAUGCACCUGCGAAGUUUGCACCGACUCUCGAGGUGAGAAAGGGCAAUGCAUGGUACGGUAGAGGCUAGCAAAUUGCGGAAAGGUAAGAGUGUGUAUAUCCAUGGAUUUACAUUAGUAACAAAGAACUCACAUACUUAUUGCAAUAUUUUAUUAGCUCACUCGAAGCAAAGCACUACUCGCAUGCCCCUAGGGGGAAGGUUGGGAGGAGUUAACCAUCGCGUGACUCCGAUUAUAACAGCACAAAGCAUUUCAAUCAAGGAUAAAUUAUGCUCCAACUCCAUCGCGUAACCAGAGAUUAUAUGUGCAUGCUUCAGGAAUCACAAACCUUAACAUCAAUAUUCGUACUAAUCCAUCAUCAUCAACUAGUGCACCCACAUAUUUCUAUCAUAAUGUCGCAAAACUAUUACCAGGAAUCAAAAACAUCAUACUCAGUGCUCUACAAGUUUUAUGUAGGAUUAAUGCCUAACCAAGUAAAUGACCAAUUCCUUUUGACUCUCUAAAUAGAUAUAAGUGAAGCAUGAGAGUUUAGUUAUUUCUACAAAAGACCACGCUCUAAUAAAUAUAAGUGAAGCAGAAGAGCAUUCUACAAAUAACGGUUUUCUAUAUAUAGAGAAACACGCAAUCCAAACAUCAAAUGAGAUAAGUGAAGCACAUGAAGCAUUCUAUAAGACCAUACUCAAAAUAUAUAAGUGAAGUGCAAUGAGCAUACUAUAAAUCAACAAUGGACUAUCUCAUACCAGCAUGGUGCAUAAAAUACAAGUGAAAACUAAACACAAAAGUUGCUCCAACAUUUACGCAUAUCGCAUGAACAAAACAAAGCCGAAAACAUACCGAUAUUGUUGCAGUACGAUGGGAUGCCUUCCGGGGAAUACCCAACCUUAGACGCUUGAGUCUCCUUGGAUAUUUACUUGGGGUGACUUGGGAAUUACCAAUCUUGAACUCUUGCCUCUCCUCCAUCUCCUCAUAUAGAGACCUCCUCGAACUUCGAACACUUGAUCCACACAAAACUUAACAGAAAACUAAUGAGAUCCAUUAGUAUAAUAAUGCAAAUUACUACCUUAAGUAGUGUUUAAAACCCAUUAAUAUUUUGUUUUUCUAUUAUAGCUACUAUAAUAUAACUUCCCCCUCGCUUCUACCAUUGAUACAAUCGAUAGUCUCAUCAAAACAAGCAAAAUAAUGCAUCAAAAACAGAAUUUGUCAAAAAUAGGACAGGCUGUAGUAAUCUUAACAUUGACAUAUACUUCAGUAACUUCAAAACUUAUGAAAACUUAGGACGAAAUAGGAAAUUUCCAUAGCAUUACUGUUUAUUUUUUUAGGAACUUUCGACAGUCGAGUAAAAAAUGUAAAUUCAUGCACUACAGCCAAAGUUUCUGUUUUUACACCGCACAUACCAACAAGCAAUCUAAUCAUCCUAAAUGCAAAUCUUGUCACAUUAUUUUUAUAAUACAAUGGACUUUUACAAGGAAAUAAUUAUUUUUGUAGAAAAUUUUAUGUAAUCAAGAUUCAUAAUAUAUCCAUGGGCAUGAACAAAGUUCAAGUCUAGCACCCACAUCAACGAUGCUCGUCCUUCUCACUUUCACUUUUCUUUUUGAAAAGUUUUAAGUUCCCCACUUUAUUUCCCCCCCCCCCCCCCCUGUUUUUAAAUAUUUCAAAAGAACAAAACAUAAAUAAAUGGCUCUCUAAAACCUUCGGGUUGUCUCCCUAGCAGCUCUUUCUUUAAAUCCAUUAAGCUAGGCAUAAAAUGCUCAAGUAAUCGGUCCACCAGGAUCCCAAGGUAUAUCAAAGCUAAUUUUAAUUAACAAUGAUUUGUAAUUUAGUAGCGAGCACAAAGCAAUAUAUAUCAUGCAAUGAUGAAGUCUAACUCUCUUCCUAUGCAUCGACAUGUCAUAAAAGAACAAUUCAUGCACAUCAGGUAAAGGCCAAUACAUACCAUAAGCAGUUUCUUGCAAUUUUCUCAUGUUGGAAACAUAAGGGGGUGGAGAUGUAGUUCCUCUAUCAUAACAAUUGCAAGUAUGAGCAGCAAGCACAUGAAUAUUAUAUCCAUCAAAAUCAUCAUGUGAAGUGGUAAAACGCAACCCAUCAAUAUAAUCCUUAAUAAGUGCAAACUUCUCUUAUAUAGUGUAGUUGGUAGAAUUCAAAAAUAUAAAGGACUAUCAUGUGUGGGUGCAAUAUUAAAAAUUGCAUGCCUAACAUAAGGAACUACAACAGAUUCAUCUUCAUAGAAGGGCCGGUCCUGAGAUCUCGGGGGCUCGGGGAAAACUUUAACCUGGGGCCUAUAAUAUAAAUACCAAUAAUAAUAAUCGAUGUAUGCCCCCCCCCCCCCAUAUAUAUAAUGUUACCAAGAAACACUUAAAAUGUUCUGAAACAGUUCCAUAUAAGAUAACUUACCAAUACUACCUUAAUAAAAAAACUAAUUUUUUUUGAAUACGUACUUGGAUGACCUAAAUGUGAUAAAUUUUAAAAAUAUAUUGAUUAAUUCAAAACUAGUGUGGACUUACAAAGGUACGUACUAGAAAAACUCAAUUAAAUCUUAGUGAUUAUGAAGUUCAACUCAUAAAGAACACAUCUCUGAUAUAUACUUAUCCGUAAAAAUAUCCAAUCAAUCCAUUAUGAAUGACUCUAUGUAAACAUAUAGAAUUCAAAUAUAUAAGAUGUUACUGAUAAACAUUUAAAUCAACCCAAAAAAUAUUUUCAAAUGAAAUAAUGUAUACAUACAAUGCAGAAAAAAUGGCAUCAAAAGUUAAACGGCGAAAUAUAUGCAUCAUACGAAGGUCAAUUACUUACUUAGCCAUGUACAUAUAGGUGCGUCGGAUGGGUCAUAUUCUUGUUGGUGAUCGCCUUUUUUUAUGAGGGACUUGUAGGUGAUCUCCUGACUAAGCGCUCAGCCAUGACUCAAUGUAGAGUGGCGUGUGUGUCAAUGCGUGUUUGCUCGACGAUGAGGCCAUGAGGAGGUAUGGACAGCCACGUGGAGUGGAGAUCGGAGAGCGACGCUUGUGAAAUGACAACCGCCGAACAGACAUGAAUAGGGCAUGAUGGCGUCACAAAGAGAUGAACUCGUGCUUUGAUCUGAGAUGUAAAUUAGGAAACCAAAACAGAGAUUUGUGCGUACGAGGCUAUAACUGUGAGAUAGCGGACGAGGAGUCAUGGAACUGCGUGACAGCCUAACGAUUAAAUGAGCCGCUGCGUGCCCAACUCAUGGGCAAUGUGUAGUUUCGACGGGCUGGCUGGGCUGCCAUAGGUGUGUGUAUGGGUUGCCUACUUACCCAGGUGGGGGCCCUGAAUUUUGGGGGCCUGGGGCGGCCACCCCCUGCCCCCCCUCAAAGCCGGCCCUAUUUCAUAAGCAUAAUUCAUAUUGGCAUCAUGGCCACAAUCAUAGAAAGCAUCAAGUUCAUUAAAAAGGGAUAUUUCAAAUGAAUCCAAGGGAUCAUAGCAAUCAUCAUAGCAUUCUUCCUUUGGUAUGUGAAAGGGAAAUUAAACAAUGUAUGAGUUGAAAAGUUACUUUUAUUAUAAGGUAGGCACGGGUAGCUAAUCCGCUCUUCCUCGUUUUGUUCUUGAAUCUCCUCAUCAUCUUUUUCAUCCACUGAGCUCACAGUAUCAUCAAUUUCUUCUUCCAUAGACUCCUAGAAAAUAUUAGUCUCUUCCAAGGCAUCCAUCUUUUUUUCAAUAAAUUCAUUAAUAUCAGCAUUGUAUUCAUAAUUAUUGUAGCAAUAUUGAAGUAUGGAAAAAAAUUAGAUUUGUAAGGAACAUCAUCAUACUUUUCAAGAAAAGAAGCAAUUUCAUAAGCACCUUUAAAAGCAACAACAUUGAGCUAGUCUUAGAGGCGAGAUUGAUACGUCUCCAUCGUAUCUAUAAUUUUUGAUUGUUUCAGGCCAAUAUUCUACAACUUUCAUAUACUUUUGGCAACUUUUUAUACUAUUUUUGGGACUAACAUACUGAUCCAGUGCCCAGUACAGUUCCUGUUUGUUGCAUGUUUUUGUUUCGUAGAAACUCCAUAUCAAGCAAAGUCCAAACGAGAUAAAAACUUACGGAGAUUUUUUGGAAUAUUUGUGAAUUUUGGGAAGUGCAAUCAACAAAAGGCGGUGCCCAAGGGGGCCACAAGCCAUAGGGGCACGACCUGGGUGGUAGGUUGCGUCGGGCAGGCUUGUGUCCACCCCGUAAGGCAGUUUGUGCCCUUCUAUCAUCGCAAGAAAGCUAAUUUCCAAAUAAAUAUCGUGUUAAAAUUUCAUCCCAAUCGGAGUUAUGGAUCUCCGGGAAUAUAAGAAACGGUGGAAGGACAAAAUCUGGCAACGCAGAAAUAGAAAGAGACACACACACACACACACACACACACACNNNNNNNNNNNNNNNNNNNNNNNNNNNNNNNNNNNNNNNNNNNNNNNNNNNNNNNNNNNNNNNNNNNNNNNNNNNNNNNNNNNNNNNNNNNNNNNNNNNNUUAUUAUCCAUGCUAUAAUUGUAUUGAAUGAAGACUCAUUUACAUGUGUGGAUACAUAGACAAAACACCGUCCCUAGCAAGCCUCUAGUUGGCUAGCCAGUUGAUCAAAGAUAGUCAGUGUAUUCUGAUUAUGAACAAGGUGUUGUUGCUUGAUAACUGGAUCACGUCAUUAGGAGAAUCACGUGAUGGACUAGACCCAAACUAAUAGACGUAGCAUGUUGAUCGUGUCAUUUUGUUGCUACUGUUUUCUGCAUGUCAAGUAUUUAUUCCUAUGACCAUGAGAUCAUAUAACUCACUGACACCGGAGGAAUGCUUUGUGUGUAUCAAACGUCGCAACAUAACUGGGUGACUAUAAAGAUGCUCUACAGGUAUCUCCGAAGGUGUUAGUUGAGUUAGUAUGGAUCAAGACUGGGAUUUGUCACUCCGUGUGACGGAGAGGUAUCUCAGGGCCCACUCGGUAAUACAACAUCACACACAAGCCUUGCAAGCAAUGUGACUUAGUGUAAGUUGCGGGAUCUUGUAUUACGGAACGAGUAAAGAGACUUGCCGGUAAACGAGAUUGAAAUAGGUAUGCGGAUACUGACGAUCGAAUCUCGGGCAAGUAACAUACCGAAGGACAAAGGGAAUGACAUACGGGAUUAUAUGAAUCCUUGGCACUGAGGUUCAAACGAUAAGAUCUUCGUAGAAUAUGUAGGAUCCAAUAUGGGCAUCCAGGUCCCGCUAUUGGAUAUUGACCGAGGAGUCUCUCGGGUCAUGUCUACAUAGUUCUUGAACCCGCAGGGUCUGCACACUUAAGGUUCAACGUUGUUUUAUGCGUAUUUGAGUUAUAUGGUUGGUUACCGAAUGUUGUUCGGAGACCCGGAUGAGAUCACGGAUGUCACGAGGGUUUCCGGAAUGGUCCGGAAAUGAAGAUUGAUAUAUAGGAUGACCUCAUUUGAUUACCGGAAGGUUUUCGGAGUUACCGGGAAUGUACCGGGAAUGACGAAUGGGUUCCGGGAUUUCACCGGGGGGGCAACCCACCCCGGGGAAGCCCAUAGGCCUUGAGGGUGGCACACCAGCCCUCAAGGUUGAUGCAAUUGCCGUCGGCACAGUUUCACUUCAGUUACCAUCAGGAUUAGUGAUGAACUUAAAUCAUUGUUAUUUAGUGCCUGCGUUGAGCAUGAACAUUAUAUCUGGAUCUUAUUUAUUGCGAGACGGUUACUCUUUUAAGUCAGAGAAUAAUGGUUGUUCUAUUUCUAUGAGUAACAUCUUUUAUGGUCAUGCACCUAAUGUGAGAGGAUUUUUCAUAUUGAAUCUUGAUAGCGAUACACAUAUACAUAACAUUGAGACCAAAAGAGUUAGAGUUAACAAUGAUAGCGCCAUAUUUUUGUGGCACUGCCGCUUAUGUCAUAUUGGGGUAAAGCGCAUGAAGAAACUCCAUGCUGAUGGACUUUUGGAGUCACUUGACUUUGAUUCACUUGACACGUGCGAACCAUGCCUCAUGGGCAAGAUGACUAAGACUCCGUUCUCCGGAACAAUGGAGCGUGCAAGUGACUUGUUGGAAAUCAUACAUACCGAUGUGUGUGGUCCGAUGAGCGUGGAGGCACGCGGCGGAUAUCGUUAUUUUCUCACCUUCACUAACGAUUUGAGUAGAUAUGGUUAUGUCUACUUGAUGAAGCACAAGUCUGAAACAUUUGAAAAGUUCAAGCAAUUUCAGUGUGAAGUUGAAAAUCAUCGUAACAAGAAGAUCAAGUUCCUACAGUCUGAUCGUGGGGGUGAAUAUCUGAGUUUCGAGUUUGGUGCGUACUUAAGACAAUGUGGAAUUGUUUCACAGUUAACACCGCCUGGAACACCACAGCGUAAUGGUGUGUCCGAACGUCGUAAUCGUACUUUAUUAGAGAUGGUGCGAUCUAUGAUGUCUCUUACCGAUUUGCCGUUAUCGUUUUGGGGUUAUGCAUUAGAAACAGCUGCAUUCACUUUAAAUAGGGCACCAUCAAAAUCCAUUGAGACGACACCAUACGAACUGUGGUAUGGCAAAGGGCCAAAGUUGUCGUUUCUUAAAGUUUGGGGAUGUGACGCUUAUGUCAAAGAGCUUCAGCCUGAAAAGCUGGAACCCAAAGCGGAAAAGUGCGUCUUCAUAGGUUACCCAAAAGAGACAGUUGGGUACACCUUCUAUCUCAAAUCCGAGGGCAAAGUGUUUGUUGCUAAAAACAGAGCUUUUCUCGAGAAGGAGUUUCUCUCGAGAGAAUUGAGUGGGAGGAAGAUAGAACUUGACGAGGUUUUCGAACCUCUCAUCCCUCUGGAUGGUGGCGCGGGACAAGGGGAAACCUCUGUCGUUGCGACGCCGGUUGAGGAGGAAGUUAAUGAUGAUGAUCAUGAAACUCCGGUUCAAGUUUCUGUCGAACCACGCAGGUCGACGAGACCACGUGCUGCUCCAGAGUGGUACGGUAAUCCCGUCUUGUCGAUCAUGUUGUUGGACAACAAUGAACCUGCAAAUUAUGAAGAAGCAAUGGUGGGCCCGGAUUCCAACAAAUGGCUAGAAGCCAUGAAGUCCGAGAUAGGAUCCAUGUAUGAGAACAAAGUGUGGACUUUGGAGGUACUACCUGAGGGCCGCAAGGCUAUUCAGAACAAAUGGAUUUUUAAGAGGAAGACGGACGCUGACGACAAUGUGACCGUUUAUAAAGCUCGACUUGUGGCAAAGGGUUUUUCACAAGUUCAAGGAGUUGACUACGAUGAGACAUUCUCACCCGUAGCGAUGCUUAAGUCCGUCAGAAUCAUGUUAGCAAUAGCUGCAUUUUUUGAUUAUGAAAUCUGGCAGAUGGAUGUCAAAAUGGCGUUCCUUAACGGUUUCCUUAAGGAAGAGUUGUAUAUGAUACAACCCGAAGGUUUUGUCGAUCCUAAGAAUGCUAACAAGGUGUGCAAGCUCCAGCGAUCCAUUUAUGGACUGGUGCAAGCAUCUCGGAGUUGGAACAAACGUUUUGAUGAGGUGAUCAAAGCAUUUGGGUUUAUACAAGUGGUUGGAGAAUCUUGUAUUUACAAGAAAGUGAGUGGGAGCUCUGUGGCAUUUCUAAUAUUAUAUGUGGAUGACAUAUUGCUGAUUGGAAACAACGUGGAGUUUUUAGAGAGCAUAAAGGAUUACUUGAAUAAGAGUUUCUCUAUGAAGGACCUAGGAGAAGCUGCUUACAUUCUAGGCAUUAAGAUCUAUAGGGAUAGAUCAAAACGCCUGAUAGGACUUUCACAAAGCACAUACCUUGAUAAAGUUUUGAAGAGGUUCAAAAUGGAACAGUCCAAGAAAGGGUUCUUGCCAGUUUUACAAGGUACGAGAUUGAGUAAGACUCAGUGCCCAGCAACUGAUGAAGAUAGAGAGCAUAUGCGCUCCGUCCCCUAUGCUUCAGCCAUAGGUUCUAUCAUGUAUGCAAUGCUGUGCACUAGAUCGGAUGUUAGCCUGGCCAUAAGUAUGGCAGGUAGGUUCCAGAGUAAUCCAGGAGUGGAUCACUGGACAACGGUCAAGAAUAUCCUGAAGUACCUGAAAAGGACUAAGGAGAUGUUUCUCGUGUAUGGAGGUGACGAAGAGCUCGCCGUAAAAGGUUACGUCGAUGCAAGCUUUGACACAGAUCCGGACGACUCUAAGUCGCAAACCGGAUACGUAUUUAUUCUUAAUGGGGGUGCGGUAAGCUGGUGCAGUUCCAAGCAAAGCGUCGUAGCAAAUUCUACAUGUGAAGCGGAGUACAUGGCUGCCUCGGAGGCAGCUAAGGAGGGUGUCUGGAUGAAGCAGUUCAUGACGGAUCUUGGAGUGGUGCCAAGCGCACUGAAUCCAAUAACCUUGUUCUGUGACAACACGGGUGCCAUUGCCUUAGCAAAGGAACCACGGUUUCACAAGAAGACCAGACACAUCAAACGACGCUUCAACCUCAUCCGCGACUACGUCGAGGGAGAGGACGUAAAUAUAUGCAAAGUGCACACGGAUCUGAAUGUAGCAGACCCGCUGACUAAACCUCUUCCACGGCCAAAGUAUGAUCAACACCAGAACUGUAUGGGUGUUAGAUUUAUUACAAUGUAAUUCACAUGAUGAUGUGAGGGCUAGAUUAUUGACUCUAGUGAAAGUGGGAGACUGUUGGAAUUAUGCCCUAGAGGCAAUAAUAAAUAUAGUUAUUAUUAUAAUUCCUGUAUCAAGAUAAUCGUUUAUUAUCCAUGCUAUAAUUGUAUUGAAUGAAGACUCAUUUACAUGUGUGGAUACAUAGACAAAACACCGUCCCUAGCAAGCCUCUAGUUGGCUAGCCAGUUGAUCAAAGAUAGUCAGUGUUUUCUGAUUAUGAACAAGGUGUUGUUGCUUGAUAACUGGAUCACGUCAUUAGGAGAAUCACGUGAUGGACUAGACCCAAACUAAUAGACGUCGCAUGUUGAUCGUGUCAUUUUGUUGCUACUGUUUUCUGCAUGUCAAGUANNNNNNNNNNNNNNNNNNNNNNNNNNNNNNNNNNNNNNNNNNNNNNNNNNNNNNNNNNNNNNNNNNNNNNNNNNNNNNNNNNNNNNNNNNNNNNNNNNNNGUCGCUUGAUAAUGGGAUCACAUCAUUAGGAGAAUCAUGUGAUGGACUAGGCCCAAACUAUGAACGUAGCAUGUGAUCAUGUCAUUUUGUUGCUAUUGUUUUCUGCGUGUCAAGUAUUCAUUCCCCCCAUGAGAUCAUGUAACUCACUGUCACCGGAGGAAUACCUUGUGUGUAUCAAACGUCACAACAUUACUGGGUGACUAUAAAUGUGCUCUAUAGGUAUCUCCGAAGGUGUCCGUUGAGUUAGCAUGGAUCAAGACUGGGAUUUGUCACUCCGUGUGACAGAGAGGUAUCUUGGGGCCCACUCGGUAAUACAACAUCACAUACAAGCCUUGCAAGCAAUGUGACUCAAGUGUGAGUCACUAGAUCUUGUAUUACAGAAUGAGUAAAGAGAUUUCCCGGUAACGAGAUUGAAAUAGGUAUAGGGAUACCGACGACCAAAUCUCGGGCAAGUAACAUACCGAAGGAGAAAGGGAAUGUUAUACGGGAUUAUAUGAAUCCUUGGCACAGAGGUUCAACCAAUAAGAUCUUCAUAGAAUAUGUAGGAUCCAAUAUGGGCAUCUAGGUCCCCCUAUUGGAUACUGACUGAAGAGUGUCUUGAUUCAUGUCUACAUAGUUCUCGAACCCGCAGGUUGUGCACACUUAAGGUUCGAUGAUGUUUUAGUAUAGUUGAGUUAUAUGUGUUGGUGAUCGAAGGUUGUUCAGAGUCCCGGAUGAGAUCACAGACUUCACGAGGGUUUCCAUAAUGGUUCAAAAAACAAAGAUUGGUAUAUAGGAAGUUGGUUUUUGGAUUCCGGAAAGUUUUCGGGCAUUGCCGACAGUGUACCGGGAGUGACGAAUGGGUUCUGGGGGCCCACUGGGUGGGCCCACCACGUCCAAGGGGUCCACGUGGGUUUAUUGGAUGUACAAUAAGGUAUAAUGGGCUGACAAAGUCAUCCAAGGAAAGCCCAUGAAGAAAAAGUGGAAAAUCCAAAAGAGGUGGGAAAAUAAGGAAGGAGUCCUAAUCCAAGUGGGAUUGGAGAAGGACUCCUCCCUCCCACUUCGGCCGGCCCAAGGAGGGUUUCCUUGGUGCGCCAAGGCUUCCCAAGGCUGCCUCUCCCCUCCUCCUAUAUAUACUAGAGGUUUAGGGCUUUUGAGACAUAACUUUGCCAUGUGCAACUCAAACCUAUAUCUCGUAGUUCUUCCUCUAGAUUAGAUUUCUACGGAGCUCGGGCGGAGCCCUGCAGGAAUAGAGCAUCACCAACACCGGCGCACCGUCAUGCUCCCGGAGAAAUCAUCUACUUCUCUGUCUCUCUUGCUGGAUCAACAAGGCCAAGAUCGUCAUCGAGCUGUACGUGUGUUGAACACGGAGGUGUCGUCCGUUCUGCGCUAGGUCGGAACGGAUCAUGGGACGGAUCAUGGGACGAUGGUGAUUUGAAUCACGAAGUUGUACCACUAGAUCAACCGUGUUUCUUAAUGCUUCUCGCUUAGCGAUCUACAAGGGUAUGUGGAUCUAAUCUCCUCUCGUAGAUGAACAUCACCAUGAUAGGUCUUCGUGUGCGUAGGAAAAAAUUUGUUUGCCAUGCAAUGUUCCUCAACAGUGGCAUCAUGAGCUAGGUUCAUGCAUAGAUGUUAUCUCGAGUAGAACACAGAAGGAUUUGUGGAAGUUGAUGUUCGAUUUUCUUCCCUCCUUAGUAUUUUCUCGAUUCGGCGGUAUUGUUGGAUUGAAGAGGCCCAGACCGACAUUACUCGUACGCUUACGAGAGACUGGUUUCAUCAACUGACAUGCAACUCGGUGCAUAAAGAUGACUGGCGGGUGUCGGUUUCUUCAACUUUAUUUGAAUUGGUUUUGACCGAGGCGGUCCUUGGAGAGAGGUUAAAUAGCACUUUGCACAUCUCCGUUGUGGUUUUCCGUAAGUAAGAUGCGAUCAUACUAGAUACCCAUAGCAGCCACGUAAAACACGCAACAACAAAUUAGAGGACGUCUAACUUGUUUUUGCAGGGUAUGCUUGUGAUAUGAUAUGGCCAAUGACGUGAUGUGAUAUAUUGGAUGUAUGAGAUGAUCAUGUUCUAAUAGUUAAUAUCGACUUGCACAUCGAUGCUACGGCAACCGGCAGGAGCCAUAGGGUUGUCUUUAAACGAACGUUCGUGUUUGCACAUGCGUUUACUAUAUUUCUAGGUCGUAGCUUUAGUAGUAAUAACAUAGAUAGCACGACAAGCUCGAUGGCGGCACGAUGAUGGAGACUUGAUGAUGGAGAUCAUGGUGUGGUGCAGGUGACAAGAAGAUCAUGCCGGUGCUUUGGUGAUGGAGUUCAAGAAGCACAAGAUGAUGGCCAUAUCAUGUCACUUAUGAAUUGCAUGUGAUGUUAAUCCUUUUAUGCACCUUAUUUUGCUUAGAACGACGGUAACAUUAUAAGGUGAUCUCUCACUAAAAUUUCAAGAUGAAAUUGUGUUCUUCCCAACUAUGCACCAUUGCGACAGUUCGUCGUUUCGAGACACCACAUGAUGAUCGGGUGUGAUAGACUCAACGUUCACAUACAACGGGUGCAAAACAGUUGCACACGUAGAACACUCGGGUUAAACUUGACGAGCCUAGCAUGUGCAGACAUGGCCUUGGAACACAAGAGACCGAAAGGUCGAGCAUGAAUCGUAUAGUUGAUAUGAUUAGCAUAGAGAUGCUUACCACUGAAACUAUUCUCAACUCACGUGAUGAUCGGACUUGAGUUAGUGGAUUUGGAUCAUGUACCACUCAAAUGACUAGAGAGAUGUACUUUUUCAGUGGGAGUUCUUAUGUAAUAUGAUUAAUUGAACUAAUUAUCAUGAACAUAGUCAAAAGGUCUUUGUGAAUUAUGAUAUAGCUUGCGCUAUAGCUCUACUGUUUUUUAUAUGUUCCAAGAGGAAAUUUAGUUGAAAGAUGAUAGUAGCAACUUUGUGGACUGAGUCCGUAAAACUAAGGAUUGUCCUCAUUGCUGCGUGGAAGGCUUAUGUCCUUAAUGCACCACUCGGUGUGCUGCACCUCGAGCGUCGUCUGUGGAUGUUGCAAACAUCUGACAUACGUGUUUUUGAUGACUACAUGAUAGUUCAGUGCGUAAUACGUAAUGGCUUAGAAGCAAGGCGUCGAAGACGUUUUGAAACGUCACGGAACAUAAGAGAUGUUCUAAGAGAUGAAAUUUUGAGUUCAUGCUCAUUCCCUUGUUGAGAGGUAUGGGACCUCCGACAAGAUUCUUUAUCUACAAACUAAAGGAGAAAAGCUCAAUCGUUGGGCAUGUGCUCAGAUUGUGUGAGUACAACAAUCACUUGAAUCAAGUGGGAGUUAAUCUUCGAGAUGAGAUAGUGAUGGUUCUCCAAAGUCACUACCACCAAGCUGCUAGAGCUUCAUGAUGAACUAUAAGAUAUCAAGGACAGAUAUGAUGAUCCUUGAGCGAUUCGGAAUGUUUGACACUGUGAAAGUAGAAAUCAAGAAGGAGCAUCAAUUGUUCGUGGUUAGUAAAACCACUAGUUUCGAGAAGGGCAAGGGCUAACAUGGAUACUUCAUGAAACGGCAAACUAGUUGAUGCUCUAGAAACCCAAGACUGAACCGAAACCCAAGACCAAGUGCUUCUAUUAUGAGGGGAACAGUCACUGAGGCGGAGCUACCCUAGAUACUGGGUAGAUAAGAAGGUUGGCAAAGUCGAGAGAAGUAUAUUUGAUAUACAUGAUAUUGAUGUGUACUUUACUAGUACUCAUAUUAGCACGAGGGUAUUAGAUACCGAUUUAAUUGCUAAGUGAUUAGUAAAUCGAAAUGAAAGAUAUGGAAUAAACGAAGACUAGCUAAAGGCGAGGUGAUGAUACGUGUUGGAAGUGUUUCCAAGGUUGAUGUGAUCAGAACAUCGCACGCUCCCUCUAUCAUNNNNNNNNNNNNNNNNNNNNNNNNNNNNNNNNNNNNNNNNNNNNNNNNNNNNNNNNNNNNNNNNNNNNNNNNNNNNNNNNNNNNNNNNNNNNNNNNNNNNAAACUUUUCACUGCCGUCCGAUUCCACGUGGUUAUGCUCUUGUGAUGGUGGAUGAAGUAAAUAAGGAUUUUGAGCAGCUCGAGCUUGACCACCCUACAUGUGAAGCUGAGAAUAAUAAGUUGGUUCAUGCAUUGAGGAGUACAUGUCUAUGGCCGAAGGAGUACAUCAAUCUUNNNNNNNNNNUCCUCCUCCUCCUCUGGUGAGUGAUCAGGGCACUCCUCAUCCUCCUCCGGCAACUGAUCAGGGAACUCCUCAUCCUCCUCCGGCGAAUGAUCAGGGCACUCCGGCUCCUCCGACGCGUGAGGGCACUCUGCCUUCUUCUUCGGCUCCUCCUCCGGCGCGUGAGGACACUCCGCCUCCUUCUUCGACUCCUCCUCCGACCCAUCGGAGCAGUCCGCCUCCUUCUUCGGCUCCCCCUCCGACGCGUUGGAGCACUCCUCCUCCUUCUUCGGCUCCUCCUCCAGCACGUCGGAGCAGUCCUCCUCCUUCGGCUCCUAAUCCUCCGGCGCGUCGGAGCACUCCGCCUCCUUCUUCGGCUCCUCCUCCGGUGCGUGGGAGCACUCCGCCUCCUUCUUCGGCUCCUCCUCCAGCNNNNNNNNNNNNNNNNNNNNNNNNNNNNNNNNNNNNNNNNNNNNNNNNNNNNNNNNNNNNNNNNNNNNNNNNNNNNNNNNNNNNNNNNNNNNNNNNNNNNAGCGCACAAGCGCAAGCUGGACCACGGGCUGGCUAUUUAAAGCCACACUUGGCUCACUCCUCCCCUGGACUCUCUCUCUUUCCCUCCCCAAAUAUGUCGUCUGGACCACGAGAGCCACCCGAGCUCGAGAUCAAGCUUGAGCUCCACCAUGAGGAAUCGUCGUUGAUUCACUCGGUAGGGCCCUUCCUCGUUGUCAUUUUCCCAAGAUUUGGAGCCACCUCAACCCUGAUCCUUUCCCCCCUCUUCCCCAUGCAUUUUGCAGUCGGAGACAAUGUCGAUGACCUCCUCCUGAAGCAUCUCUACCGUGCUUCCUCCGCCGGCGACCCAGGCCUCCUCGAUGACUUCCUCCACCUCCACAAAGACGACGGAUCUCCCCUGGUUCCAUUUCCUUCAUCGGCCCACUCCGUCGUGCCCUCCCUUGCCGUCGGUGAGUUGUGCCCCCCUGUUCGCAGGGUUAAAGAUGACAGGCAGGGCCCAUGUGUCAUCCUCCCCUCUCGCCCGCUCCCUCUCUCUCUCACUCGCACCGGGGGGAACUUGUUGGGUUUGAACCCAGGCAGGCACGUGCCUGGCUCGGCCUGGCCGGCUUAGCUAGCUGGGCCUGGCUCGGCUAGCUAAUUAGGCUUGAGGGGCACAGUGUUGUUUCCUUUUUAUUUUUCUGGCAUUAUUUCCAAAAAUUCCCGUGGUUCAAAUAAUUGUCCAAAUUCAAAAAUUCCACCUCCUAAAUUCCUGUAAAAUCCUAAGAUAUUUAAUGAUGCCACUUGUGCAAUUUUUGCAAAAAGUUCUAUACACUGUAUUUAUUUAAAACACUAUUUUAAGCAUUUGUAACCUUUGUUAAAAUAAUUUUUAUUACUUUUUACACCCCAAACCAGAAACUAAUAACUUUUUUACAAAACUAAUAUCCAGCCUAAUAUUUUACAAAAAUGGCUUGGUCUUAUUUUUUCCUGUUAUUAUCAUGAUGAUAGAUUGUCUUGUUGAUGAAGGAGUUGGACAAUAAGACUUUGAAGACCCUAGAGACUAUGUUGAGCCAGGCAAGAAGCGUUAUGACCAUGGCUAUGUAACCCUUUUAUGCAUCUCAUAUGUAACUUUAUUUUGUUGCAUCUGAAUCAUGUUCAAUCAGUGACCUCCUUGGUGGGUUGUCUCCGAUAUUUCCUCGUUGAUACUUGUACUAAGCAUGACCCUACCAUCCUAUGAGGAUUGUCCGGAUGUGAAGUAGUUAUGUUGCUAUGUAGUUGCUACACAAAUAGGAUGGGAUUAUGCAUGGUGUUGGAAACAACGGUGUUUUCAAAGACUUUUUGAAAACCCCGUCGGGUGCCACUAAUUGUGGGUUAUAUGUAUUGUGAAUAGAGCCGUGGGCCAUAGUUUUCGCUAAUGUCAUCUGUCGGAUAUCGGGCUCCGAAGAACCCUAAAGAUUCGAACUCAGGUGCGUGUACGAAGAUCUCUCAUAGGCUCGCAUCACCUAACUCGCUACUCGCUGGGGAUGGCAGAGAACUCACUCGAUGGUGAGGAAACACAAAACACGACAAUUUACCCAGGUUCGGGCCGCUGAGAAGCGUAAUACCCUACUCCUGCUUUGGUGGAUUGCCUAUAAUGGAGGUUGGUGGAUGAACUGGUACAGUGUUCGAGGGCCUCCGGAGGCUGGGUGGCCUUUUUGUGGUGCAGGUGGGCGAAAUGAAUGGAUCCCCCCUCUCUAUGAAGUAACCUACUCUCUCUAUAUAUAGUGGCGGCCCGGUCAUCUUCCCUUAUCGUUUCGGCGGGAAGGGAUCCCAUAAUGGCCAAUUUUCAAGGGGCACAAGGGAACAUGCUUCCCCUGUCCAAAAGUAGUCUUCUCCUGUAAAGUGGCUACCAGCACUGUAGGGACGGGUCCAGGGAUAACGUUUGUCCUGCUGGCGGGCGGCGAUGGCCUUGUUGCAUCGGAAAGGAAACCUUUGGAAGAUGCCUUGGGAACCCCGGUUCGUCCUUGCCCCCUUUGCACGAAAGGGAAACUGCUCCGUCCUACUGUCUACUGCUCUCCUGUCCUUCCUCCGCGUCAUCCUUGACUCCUCAGGGUAUCGCCUUAGAGUAUCUGUCGCUCCGGAGGGAUCCUGAUGAGGCCCCUGUGGGUCUUGAUGAUGUUCCUCCUCGCGAGGCUUGGCCCCUCACGGGGACCUUGCCUUGAGUGGUGUCGCGCCCGAUUAUGGGCCAGCCCUGGGCUGCAGGCAGGCAGGUCUAGGUACCCCCAUUCCUAGGACGCCGACAGUAUCCCCCGGGACCAAGGUGCGCCUGGGAUGGUUUCUCCGCGAACCCUUGAGGGCAGCCUGAACCGUCGCGGGUCCCAAAUUCCUUCGGGACAGGCGGCACACGUGUCCAGCUACCAUGCGGCGACGCUCUCACUCCCCAAGGGGUCUAGGGCGCAACAGACCACGAUGGCACGAUCUCCAAGAACCGCACCAACCAUCAUUGUUACUCAUUGAAUGGCAUUGACGCGGCCGGCCCUCGCCCAAUGGCCCUCUCGGACGUGACUGCUCGGUUGUCAGGUGAGGCGGCGUGGGCAGCAAUGUGCCUGUCGGCCCACCUCGCGGCACCUGACUUCGUAACAGCAGGCCUUCCCUUGCAACGGCACCAGAAGAAUGCUGCUAGCACUCUCCGGCAAUCGAAACUAGAAGAAUGUUAUUGACGGCCCACCAGCGCAUGGGAUCGUAGCAGUUUUCGAGGGUAGAGUAUACGACCCAAAUUUGUUGAUCGCCUAUAGGAGGUGAGAGGAUACUCUCAAGUAUUAGCAGCUGAAUAUGUCAGAUUCAACCACACCUGAAAGAUUAGUAUCUGCAAGCAAAGUAUCAGUAGCAAAGUAGUAUGAUAGCAACGGUGUCAGAAACGAUCUGUUGACACGGCAGACUAUUUCUAACGAUUGUAUCAAUGGUGCCAAGUUGUCGCGUUGACGGAAAUUGUCAGUUCCCGUCAACGACAAGUGAACCAAAAUUGUAGCAGGUAGCAUCAGUGUAACGAGUAAUAGCAGUGGCAAGGAACAGUAGUAGUGAUAGCAGUAGCAAGUAGCAACAGUAGCAAGCGACAGUAGUAGUGACAGUAGCCACAAAGCAAGACAAGUAACAGUAGUAGAGCAAGACAAGUAACAACAUCAGUAGGACAAACUCGUAGGCAAUGGGUCGGUGAUUUGUUUGGAUGAUAUUCAUCAUGCAACAAUUAUAACACGGAGAGAUAUGUGGAUAGCUCCCGAUCGUCAAUGUGAUGUAGGCAUGCAUUCCGUGUGUCGUCAUAUGUGCUUAGGGAAAAGAACUUGCAUGACAUCUAUUGUCCAUCCCUCCCGUGGCAGCGGGGUCCAAAAGGAAACUACGGGAUAUUAAGGUUCUCCUUUUAAUAAAGAACCGGACCAACGCAUUAGCACUUGGUGAACACAUGAACUCCUCAAACUAUGGUCAUCACCGGGAGUGGUUCCGGUUAUUGUCACUCCUNNNNNNNNNNNNNNNNNNNNNNNNNNNNNNNNNNNNNNNNNNNNNNNNNNNNNNNNNNNNNNNNNNNNNNNNNNNNNNNNNNNNNNNNNNNNNNNNNNNNACCGUCGUUAGGUUUGACGCACUUCACGAGAUGCGGCCCCGCCUCCCCCUACAACGAACGGAGCUCCAGGACGGCACCAGGGGUAGCAAGUGGCCUUAUGACAGGUAAGGCUCCUGAAUCGGUGCCGAGGAGCCCCCUUUGGUGCUCGAGCGAUUCCCCAUUUUGUCCUUUUGGUCAUCACCCCACGGCGCCCUGAGGCCUCCCGAGACUCUUUGUGGUGGUAUCGUGCUUCGAUCUGGGCCCCCGAGCGGGGGUCAAUCACUGAAAGUGUUUGCCCCUGGGACGGCAAGUCCUUGCUUCCACGCUCCUUGGCGCCUAGAGGUGGUGCAGAGCGUUCAGCUCCUCAGAAAAUUUCAUCUAGAAAAGGAGGCUUGAAAACCAGCGAAACGAGAAAGCGCAAGAGAAAAUUCUCCCCUUUUUGUUUUUCAAACAUCAACUUUUGAAAUCGACAAAUUUAAGUCCAGCACAGGAUUAUUCAAGCUCCAGGAAGAAGCAAGGAAACGCCGCANGGGGGGGGGGGGGGGGGCGUAUACAGCCGCAGCUCGUUAUUACGUGAGAAUGUCACGGGGGUGUAUCUGGGAGGUUGCGAGGACGCUUUGGCCUCGCUAGUGUCCCUACCCCCUAGGAAUAAGCANNNNNNNNNNNNNNNNNNNNNNNNNNNNNNNNNNNNNNNNNNNNNNNNNNNNNNNNNNNNNNNNNNNNNNNNNNNNNNNNNNNNNNNNNNNNNNNNNNNNACGAUUAUCUUGAUACAGGAAUUAUAAUAAUAACUAUAUUUAUUAUUGCCUCUAGGGCAUAAUUCCAACAACAACAUCCAAUGAUGGGCAAAAAUGAGAGUGAUCACAAGGUUUGAGCCUAUUUCAAGAAAGUUGGUAAUGUAAACAUAGAAAACUCUAAAAAUCAACAUAAUGAGGUUACUGUAGAUCUAUUUAAGCAAAUAUAUACCCCAAAUUGAAAACUUGGUGUAGCAUCAUUAUUUGGGGACAACAUAAGUCCUGCAAAGUUUGAGAGCAAUCGAAGAAACUUGACAAUGUAAAGUUGCCCAAAUUUGGUUCUGGACAGAGAGAGUUUUGAAAUAUUCUGGUGGACCAAACCAACUUGGAUUGAGGUGAAACUUGCCAAGAUCAUCACAUAUAUUAUGUGUGAUUUGACACAAUUUUCUGGAAUUAUUUGAGAAUAUCUCCUAUGAAAAUAUUCCAAAAGCUUAAAGUAGGAAGCAAGGGUUUUGAGGGGUUUUGUCCAAUAUUUUAAACAUGACCAUGGGUUGAAACUCUUAUAUAUGGAAACUAUAUUUCCACUGGGUUUUCCUAAAUUUUCUUAAAUAUUUUAAAAGCAUUAAAAUAAAUUUUCCCUAUAAAAGACCAUUUCUGGCCUCAGAUAAAGGUAUUUAAUUAAAAUAGGGAGAUAACUUUGAAAAUGAUAAUUUCGUUGUUUUGGGACGUCUUUCUGAUAAUAGGGUCCAAAUAAAUUAUUUAGGGCAAACCAUCUACCCUAAUUUGAGGACUUGUAGUACAAACCUGAAUUUAAGGGUUUUUGGAAACUUAAUUUAAAGAAAAGCUUUUGACCAAAAUAAUAGUUAAUAAAAAUAGUUCUUGGUCCCGUACACAUGAUAUGGCCAUUGGGCACGUAUUUGCAGCAAGAAGAUGAGUUUUCGUGGAGGGGAUUUUUUGUGAAUAAAACCCAAAUAGGCAAACAAGCAUAUAGCAACCAAUUCAAGCAUCACAUGUACAUAAAAGUUUUAAAUAGUUUCAAAUUUUAUGAAAUCAUCAUGUGACAAAGUGGUACAAACAUAGGAUGGGACAGCAACCUUCGAAGAGCAUCAUCUGCACGAACCCCACUCAUGGAGUCAUCGUUGCCCCCGGGUCCCACCACACGCGUCUUCGACUUCUCUCUCACUGUGAGAAACAAAUAUAGACACACUCCUUCGCAAACCGGACCGUCAAUAUUAGAAGGACAAGCUGCAACCCAGCUCCGCACACCAUCAUCAUCGUCGCCACAGAAGUCACAACGCCAACCGCCCACACUGCCGGUUGAGCAUCUACCGACCAUGAUGCCGUGCACAUCCAGCCUGCCGAAAAUGCAAAAGGGAGCAAGAUCUCGAAGACAGCGCUACGCAGAGACGCCGCCGCCGUCAGAUCCAACUGAAGGAUCUUGACUUUCACCUGAAGAUCUUGAUCCGAAAGGAGAGCUUGCAAAUAAGCUCCUUGAUGGCGUUUCCAAAAAAGAUUGUGACCGCCACGGACGGCGUCGCAGCCGGCCGGCGAAAAAACCAGCCAAGCUUUCGUUCGGAGCAGCAGGACCUUCACUCCCAUGCAGUUGACCAGCACCUCCGCUGACCCUUGCACUCCGGCACAGCAAUCACGCCAUUGCCACAGAGGAUCCACUUGAUAGAUCGAUGAGAAAGAAGAUUCUUUUACCUCUUUCCAGGAAACAGAUUAGCACUACGGUGACUAGAUGUAGCAAAAGGAGAUCCUUUCACACCAUGACUUCCGCGAAAUUUCUGCGUCGAUCCCUGUGCAUCUCCUCAAGGUUUUCUGAAACUAUGUAGAAGGCUCACUGAUCCAUCGAAUAUUCAGAUGGACUAGUAAGAGACAACAGAAUCGUAAGUUCAUAAACACAUAUAACAAUAUAGAAACAAUACAGACAUAUGAACUGAGAAUACAGCAGGAAGGAGCAGCUAACAGUUGCUUCAAAACACCAUAUAUAAUAUCGCAAACAGAACACAAUGACUAGAACAUUGGAAAAUAGGAGUAGGAGGCAGCGCUUAUUAUCACCCCAUCUUCUCUCGCUCCCACGGCGAGGAGUAUACGGUACUAGAUGGAAUGAAUCACCAUAGAUAGUCGAACCACACUUAAUUUAACACAGUACACGAAACAAAGCAAACGGGACGGGUCGAAGGGGCGCGCUUGCUUGCUUGCUUCCCUACACGAAUGCGGCGGCGGCCGCCGCGGCCCCAGCGGUGCGGAGGAUCUGGUAGUAGACCUGCGGGUUGGCCACAAACGCCGUGCGGGAAAUCAGGAAGCCGGCGGCACCAGGCGCCUUCAUCAUGGCGCCGGCGGCGGCUGGGGCGGCUGCAGCAGGCCAGAGAAAGUAGGCGCCCACGGCGCCCCCGAUGACCAUCGCCGCGGUCCCCACGGCACCGUCGCGCGUGGAGAGCUUUGCAGGCAGGUACGGUUUGGCCAACGAGAUGGUGGAGGCCAUGGCCGCUCCUGUAUGGUUCUUGACGUAGCCGAGACCGGUGACGAUGUCGCCUGUGCUCAUCUCGGUUAGCUUUGCGGGAAGGUACGGCUUGGCCAACGAGACUGUGGAGGCCAUGGCCGCUCCUGUAUGGUUCUUGACGUAGCCGAGACCCGCGACGAUGCCACCCGUGUUCAUCUCGGUUAGCUUUGAGGGGAGGUACGGCUUGGCCAGCGAGACGGUGGAGGCCACGGCGCUCGCCUGUUGCUUGACGAGGUCGAGACCGGAGAAGAGGAGGUCGCGGGUGCUCAUCUCGCCUGGUUUUCCUUUCCGAUUUGUGGUCGUUUGUGUGGACUUAUACCUCACUAAAUGGAUGAGACGACGCAAAGCGUGGAUUUAUAGCGACGAAGGUGAUCUAUACCUAGACAACGACGCGCGACGACCUUGACUACCAACAGUACUAUCGACAGCACUAACAUGUCACCAUAUGAAGAAGAAUCAAAAGAUUACAAAAGAGGCUAUAUAAAAAUCAUUCACCGCUGGUCCCUUUGUACCUACUCGGCUAAAGCACAGGAUGCCCAGGCGUGGUGCGGAAGGCAGUCACCUCGACCAACUCUACUUUCCAUGCCAUGAUAGACUGAUACACCCAUCUAAACAACCAAGUGUACGGAUUAUCUAUAAUUUAUUAAACCAACUCUACCGCACGACCCCAUUUCGUUCGUUCUUAGUUCGUUUAGAUUAAACGGACGAAUAGCUGAACCCGACGUGCAGUCCCAAAUGAACAAAUAUCUGAUUUUCGUCCAUUUUCAUUCUAUUCCGGGCCCAAACAUGCGUCGCGUUUGGAGUAAAACGGACAACGUGCGGACGGGCGGGACACGCGUCCUUGUCCUCCCCAUGGCCCGCCUGUCGGGACACUGGCACUUCAUUCAUUUCCAACGCCUCCAUCCGCCCUCCCCGCCCCACCUCGCCGUCGGAGCCGCCACUAUUUUUUCAGCCGCCUCCUCACUGCUCACCCCCCGGCCGUCCAUACCAAACCAAGUCUCGCCAUGGCCGCCACCACGCCCACGCUUUCGUAGGAAUUUUGGUCGUCUUUUGGAGAAGUUUUGGCCGUCGCCUUCGUAUCUGGUGCCAGAGGGGAUACGACCGCCGGGUGCUCUAUAGCGACCUGUAGCCGGCCGCCAAACGACCCUCCUGCAUCGAGGUGAUUUCCGCAGCCUAUUUGUCACCACGACCGCAAGGUUUCUAACACUUUGCCAACAAAGGUAUGGACAAUGGAGAUGAAUUUUUCUUCAACCACUUCUUUUGUUCAUCGGAUGAUGCGUCCUCGGAUGACGAAGAUCUUGUGGUGGUUGCACCGGUCGUUCACGACCACAUUGAAAGACAGCGGCCUCGCUACAGGCGGUCAGUCCUGGGCCGUGCUCCCAACCUGAACCACAUCAGAGAGAGAGAGGCGACGCCAUGCUCUAUGUCGAUUACUUUGAGAAUACCACACUCUUUGAACCGAAGAAAUUCCAUCGUUGUUUUCGUAUGGCAAGACAUAUGUACAGUCGUAUCCGAGAGAGAGUGAUUCGUCAUGACCCAUUCUUCGAGUGCAAAACGGAUGCCCUUGGCAAGCUUGGAUUCUUCUCUUAUUAGAAAUGCACCGCGGCCAUCCGCAUGCUUGCAUAAGGUAUUCCACGCGAUUUUGUGGAUGAGUACGUGCGCAUGAGUGAGUUCACAUGUCUGAUGUCAAUGUACAACUUCUGCAAUGCCGUGGUGGCAGUGUUUGGCCCUCAAUACUUGAGGCAGCCAAAUGCUGCUGAUACAAAAAGGCUGUUGGUAAUCAACGCCGAUAGAAGCUUUCCAGGCAUGCAUGGCAGCAAAGAUUGUAUGCACUAGGAGUGGAAGAACAGUCUAUUUGCUUGACAGGGCCAGUACAAGGGGCAUGUGAAAGCGUGCACUCUCAUAUUAGAAGUUGUGGCUUGACAAGAUCUUUGGAUAUGACAUUCUUUCUUCAGCAUGGCAGGUUCUCACAAUGAUAUCAACGUGCUGCAGCGUUCUCCAGUCUUCGCAAGGUUUGCACAAGGCCAUUCUCUACCUAGCAACUUUGAGGUCAAUAGCCACCACUACAACAAGGGAUACUACCUAGAUGCUGGUAUAUAUCCUAAGUGGUCAACUUUUGUGGAGACAAUCUCGAAACCCCAAUGUGAUAAGAGACAGAGAUUUUCCCAAAUGCAAGAGAGUGCUAGAAAGGAUGUGGAGCGUGCUUUUGGUGUGCUUCAAUCCCGAUGGGGUAUCGUUCGAAACCCUUCACUGAACAUGGAUGAAGGGAAGCAUUGGAGGUGAUGACUACUUGUGUGAUCAUGCACAACAUGAUCAUCAAGGACGAGCGUGAUAACAACAUCUUCGACCAAGGAUUUGAUUUUUGAGGUGAAAAUGUUGAGCCCCUGCAGCAAGAACCGGCCACAUUUGAACAGUUUACCCAAUUCCAUCGUGAAAUGCGUGAUUGCACACUCAUUUGGAGCUUUAAAAUGACUUCGUUCAGCACAUGUGGAAUCACAUUGGCAACCAAUAGAUGUAUUGGUUUAUUAUGUUUAUUCAAGACAAUUUCAAUUUGGUUGUAAAACCAUUUUAUUCGAGACAAUUUUGAUUGGGUUGUAAAACUAUUUUUAUUUGAAACAAUUAAAAUUUGGACGUGCAAACAUUGAUGAAUAUGAAUAUAUGGGCAUAUUGGUCGUGGCGGACAGGAUGCGACCAAAGGAUGCGUCCGCAUGUUGGGUGCACGGCCACCGCAUCCGAGGAAAGGCUGAGAGACGACCCCAUUGCCCUACCCAAAUGUCCGGGAAAAACGGAUGUCCGUUUGGGGUCGUGCGCUGAAGUUGGCCUUAGGAACAAGAGGUAGGCAGGAAUGAUCAAGCGUACAACACACAUAAGGGCAUCUCCAGCCGCGCCCCAAGAGGCCACUCAUGCCCCUUUUUAGACGCCGUCGUUACAAAAUCCCCCCCAGUCGGGCCCCCAGGACGUCGUUUUCCGCCAGAUGGUCCAUUUUUCGGGCCGGUGAACCCAGGCCGAACCCAGCACGCUGGGGGCACCUAGGUGCUUUGACAGAAGGAAAAGUUGUGUGUAGGACACUACUGUGAGGCGAGAAAUGCCUUUUCGCCGCUAGAUUCGCCCUCGUGCGCCACGGAACACCUCACCGCCAUGUCGAUCCCGACGCCGCCAACGUGCCCUCAGGUGCUGCCGCGCCGAUUGAAAAUGCCAUUUCCCUGCCAUUUUCGCGGUAGCCUCCAUCCUGCUCUCCCUGGGCGAGCUUUUCAAACCGCUCAGGCAGGGAUACCGGCGACUGCCCACCAACUACGCCAUUCAGGUGUUUGGUGAUUAGCCUGCUCGGUAAUGGACUCAAACGACGAUGACACGUUCAUGGCUCUGAUGGAGGAGAAAGCCGAGGACGACACCACCGACGAAGAGCACAUCAUGAUCCUCGCCGCGCUGGCCGGCCUAUUGCGAAUAAUGCCAAGCCGUGGAGUGGUGUCUCGGUGCCGGGGCGCCGCAAGAGCAAACAAAGACAUCACAUGGAGGUCUAUUACAUGCUCUACAUCGACUACUUCGCCGACAGUCCUAUGCAUGGCGAGAAAUUAUUUCCGCGCCAUUAUCGGAUGGACCCGAAGCUCUUCCUCAGGAUUGUGAAUGUCAUCUAUGAGUUCGACAUCUAUUUCAUUUGCAAGAAGGAUUGCACCAGUACGGUUGGAUUAUCCUCGUUCUUGAAGUACACCACGACUAUGAGGAUCCUUGUGUAUGGAUCUCCCGAUGAUAUACAGUAAUACUAAGGAGCAUGGUCGAGUCGACCACCUUUGAGUGUUUGUAGAAGUUUUGUAGGAUAGUGGUGGCAGUGUUUGGACCAUAAAAUUUGCAAUCACCCAAUGCUGAAGACACUGCUCGGAUCCUAGCGUAGAAUGCAGUAAGAGGAUUUCAUGGGAUGCUUGGAAGCAUCGACUGCAUGCAUUGGGCAUGAAAAAACUAUCCAUUAGCUUGGCAGGGGAUGUACGAAGGCACCAAAAGAGGUUGCAGAGUGGUACUUGAGGUAGUGGCCACAUAGGACCUAUGGAUUUGGCACUCCUUUGGUAUGCUAGGAACUCACAAUGACAUCAACAUACUUCAGUCCUCGAAUGUCUUUGCAAAUCUUGUUGAAGGUCAUGCUCGUUCGGUGAACUUCGAGGUCAAUGGGUGCCACUACAACAAGGGAUACUAUCUAGCAGAUGGUAUCUCCGGGAUUGUCCACAUUUGUGAAGAGUAUCUCAAACCUUGUGCGAGGAGGCAAGAAGUCACACUUUGUUAAGUGUCAGGAGGCUUGCAGGAAGGAUGUCCAGCGAGCAUUUGGUGUGCUCCAAUCUCGAUUUACUAUUGUCCAGUACCCCACUCUUACCUGUGAUACGUCUCCGUCGUAUAUAUAUUUUUUGAUUGUUCCAUGCCAAUAUUAUACAACUUUCACAUAUUUUUUGCAACAUUUUAUAUGAUGUAUUGGACUAACAUAUUGAUCCAGUGCCAAGUGUCAGUUCUUGUUUGUUGCAUAUUUUUUGUUUCGGAGAAUAUCCAUAUCAAACAAAGUGCAACGCGAUAAAAUUUUAAAGAGAAUUAUUUUGAACAUGGAAUCAACGUAAAUGGCGGCCCACGACCUCCACUAGACACCAGGGCGUGCUUGGUCCACCUGGCACAGGGUGGUGUCUACUGGGCACCCCUUAAGUUGGUUGGGGCUCUUCUUAGGGUACAAGAAAUAUAAUUUAUUGAUAAAAGUCCCUCCAAAAUUUCGGCACAACCGGAGUUACGGAUCUUCGAGAAUUUAUGAAACGGUGAAGGACCAUAAAACAGGAACAUGCAACAGAAGAGAACAUAGAGGGAGAUGCAAUCUCGGAGGGGCUCCUUCGCCUCCGCCGCCAUGGAGGCCGUGGACCAGAGGGGGAACUCUCCUCCCAUCUAAGUGGAGGCCAAGGAAGAAGAACAAGGAGGGAGGCUGUCCCCCCUCUCUCCCGGUGGCACCGGAGUGCCGUCGGGGCAAGGAGCGUGACGGAGAUUGACACGUCUCAAACGUACAGACUUUUACAAACACUUUUGCUAUUGUUUUGGCCUCAUUCAUGCAUGAUUUUAAUGAAACUAACCUGAACUGACGCUGUUUUCAGUAGAGCUGCCUAUAUGGUUUUCUUGUGUGCAGGAAAAUGGAUGUUUAGGCGCCCCGGAAAAUUCCAAUAAAAAAUAGAUAAAUCCACGAACCGGGAGGAACCCUGGGUCAGAAGAUGGGCGAGAGGGGGGCCACCAUGCCUCCAGGCGACCUUUGGGCGCGGCCUGCCCCCUGGCCGCGUUGGGAGGCCGCCUGGUGGGGUCCACCUCCUCUGAUGCCCUACUUUGUCUUCUAUUUUUUUCCUGAUGGAGAAAUCCCAGAAGAGAAGUCGUUUUGCAAGUUCUCGACGCGGAGCCGCCGCCACCCUCAGUUCUUUUUCGGGAGAGCUAAUCUAGAGGCUGCCUUGGCCUCCGGAGAGGGGAAAUCGUCGCCAUCAUCAUCACCAUCUUCACUCCAUCACCCUUCCAUGGAUUCCCCCAUCAUGUAUGAGUAAUUCCAUGUUGUAGGUGAAGUGGACGGCAGGAAUUGGAUGAGUUAGAUCAUGUAAUAGUUCGUCGGAUUGUUGGGGGCAUGUUGCCAAUCAUCUACCAUGGUGUUUAUCAUCUUUUCUACUACUUGUUACUCUUAAUGCUUGUCACUUCGGGACCGAGUGCCAUGAUUUCAGAUCUGAAUAUCUUAUGUUUUCAUGAAUAUAUUUGUGUUCUCGAUCCUAUCUAUGAGUAGUAUGCACCUAUUAUAGUCCGGAACAGGCAAUCCCAACGGUGACAUCUUGGGACAAAAAAAGGGAUAGACUAUGAUUUGAGGAUUCCAUGUAUCCAUUGAUUGUUAAUGCUUUGUUCCGGUGCUCUUUGACAGGAGCACCUUAAUCUCCAUAAGUUCCUUUUGGCCCCAUUGGUAGCGGGAUGAUAGGAAAAAACAUGUUGUGCAAGUUCUUAUUGCAAGCACGCACGACUACCUUGGGAUACAUGCCUAAUGAUUGAUAUUUUCCUAGAUGAUCAUUCCUUCUCUAUGUGCCUUGCCCCAUGUUAAAUACAUGAUAUCUCUCAUCCAUGACCAACCAACCAUCUCCGUAGCCUACAUGGUUUUAAUCCCGCUAGUCACUAGUUGCUCUACUUUAGCUGUUUUACUUUUGUUGCUUUGCCACCAUUAUCUCCGUUGCCACAAUCACUUUCAUAUCACCGUUACUACUAAUAUUUCGUUGCCAAGCAAGUAUCUUUCAGGUGCGGUUGAACUGACAACUCAACUAUUAAAGCUUAUAAAUAUUCUUUGGCUCCCCUUGUGUCGAAUCAAUAAAUUGGGUUAACUUACCCGCGAAGACUGUUGCGAUCCACUACACUUGUGGGUUAUUAAGACUAUUUUCUGGCAUCGUUGCGAGGGAGCAUAUAUUUAUUUACAAGUCUACUUGGAGUUAUUUUGCUUGCUGCGAUUUAUCCACUAUGGGUAAGAAAGGAGACCCCAAGGUUCCAAUCUUACCAUCUACUACACGAAAAGGUAAUGUUCUUAGCACCAGAGCCAUGCUUGAUUCACCUUCCGUUAUGAGUAAGUUUGCUUCACCACCACCACAUCCUGCUUCUACCUAGUUCGUCACUAUGCCUGAUACUUUUGAUGAUGCUUCUACUACUAUUGAUGAGACUGGUUUACUUGGUUAUUUUAUUGAGUCUCAGAUUGCUAAGGCUGCAAAGCAGUCUAGGGUUGAAAUUCCUGUUACAUUCUACCCCAUUGGUGUAUCCUUUGGUUACCCAGACUUGAGUGGUCUCAGGGAAAGAAUUCUUGAUGAUGAUUAUAUUGAACUUGAUGAUGAUUUAUGCAUGGAGCUUACAGAGUGUGCUAACUCUAACCCUGCUUCUGUUAAGAAGCUGCUUGAAAAGCAUUCUAUGAAGAAAAAUUUACUCCCAAUCCUAAAUUUGCUUAAUCUCCUAUUUGCAUUGAGGAUGCUGAUUUUAAUUUCUCUGACUAUCUUUCACGUAUAUCCACAGUUGAAGUUGACCCUUUUUAUGGCAGAGAAAAGGACGAUGCUAUUGCACACCUUACCAAAUUCACUGAGUUGGGUGGCUUAUCCACUAAGAGGACAAGAAGAGAAAUUAUCAUGUUACUAAGCUACUUCCUUUCUCAUUGAAGGAAGAUGCUAAAGCAUGGUAUGAUGCACUACCAUGUGGUUACAUUAAGAGUCCUCAAGAUUUAGCUCAAUCUUUUGUUGCUAAAUAUUUUCCUGCUCAUAAGCAACAUGCUUCUUUACAAAGAAUAUAUAACUUUACACAGUUGUAGGAUGAGCACCUCCCUAAAGCUUGGGGGAGGUAUUGCACUUUACUCAAGGCUAUACCGAGACAUGGAGUCCCUAACAAUGAAUUGCUUGAUAUAUUUUAUGCUGGUCUAAUCGAUGAAUCUAGAACCUAUCUGGAUUGUUGUGUUGGCUGUGUUUUCAGGGAAAGAACACCGAACGAUGCUGAAGAACUAAUGGGCAAGAUAGCUAAAAAUCAUGAUGACUAGUCUGUUCCUGAACCACCUCCACCACCCAAGAAGAGGGGCAUGCUUUUCUUGAGCCCUGAAGCUAUGAAAGAAGCUAAGCAGUCUAUUAAUGAGAAAUGUAUUAAAGCUGAAGAUGUGAAUAAUCUACCUCCUAUUGAGAAAUUAUGUGAGCCUACCACUCACCCACCUAUGGUAGAGGUACACUCUCUUUUAGAAUUCAAUGCAAGUGACAUCCCUCAUGGUAAGACCCCUGAUCAAUGCUUAGAUGAGCUUGAUAAUUUCAUUGUCAAGCAAAAUCACUUUAAUGAUAGGAUUCAAAGAUAGUUGCAUGAUAAGUCCCUUGCUAUCAAGAGUUUGCUUGAUGUUUUAAGUAGAACUAUGAAUGAUGUUAAAGGUCUUGUUAAGCAUUUUCAUAUGGUUCAAACUCAGCUUGAACAAAUUUCUAAUGUGCAAAAAGAUUUGCUUGCUAACAAUGCCAAACAAGUUGAUACACACGCAUAUGGUAUAAAGACCCGAGGUGGUACACACACCUAGGACCCCCUCUAUCCGGAGGGGCAUCCAAAGAGGGUCGAGAAAGAUUCUCAAUUGCAGGAAGAAGACGUUGUCAGCUCCCCGAAGAAGAAGAAUAAACACAAGGAAGCUGACAACUCCAAUGAUCCCAUAAUUGAUGAAGAACCUAUUGUUGAUCCUAAUAGUAUAUCUAUUUCCGAUGCUGAAACUGUAGAUGGUGUUGAACCUGAUAAACAUAAUGAGAAGAAUGAUCCUCCUGAGGUACAAGAAGAAGAAGCACCCGACAGGCACAAGAGGUAUACUAGAGAAGACUUUGUUGCAAGAAGACAUGGGACGGAAAGAGAACCAUGGGUACAGAAAUUAAUGCCCUUCCCAGGUAAGUCUUUCAAAACCAAAGAAGAAGAGCAUUACAAUAAAUUUUGUGAAUGGAUGAAACCUCUUUUUCUUCAAAUUCCUUUGACUGAUGCUAUUAAGUUGCCUCUGUACUCGAGGUAUAUGAAAGAUAUUGUUACUAAGGAAAGAAGAGUUCUUAAUGAGGCAAUAUCUACUAUGCUUUCUAAUUACUCUUUUAGUCGUAAGAUUCCUGAGAAGCUUCGUGAUCCAGGUAUAUCCACCAUUCCUUGCCCAUAAAAAAUAAUUAUGUCAGAACUGGUUUAUGUGAUCUUGGUGCAGGAGUGAGUGUUAUGCCUUUCUAUCUUUACAAAAGGCUUUGUUUAGAUAAACUAAUCCCUAUAGAUAUCUCUCUUCAAAUGGAUGAUAAGUCAACGGCCGUUCCUGUUGGUAUUUGUGAGGAUGUUCCUGCUGAAGUUGCUAAUUGCUUGAUACUUGGUAACUUUGUUGUGCUGGACAUUCCCGAGGAUGGGAGCAUGUCUAUUAUUCUUGGUAGACCUUUUCUUAACACCGCAGGUGCUAUUAUUGAUUGCAAUAAAGGAAAGGUGACUUUCAAUGUUAAUGAGAAGGAGCACACGAUAUAUUUUCUGAAGAAGAUUGAUAAAAGGCAUGGCAUUAAUUCUAUUGAGAAUAUUGAGUCCGUGAAGGUUGGAGCGUGGGAUUGUCCUCUACAUGUCCACCACAAAUAUCAAAUCAUUAUGGUGGGAACAAUAUCCAUUAAAAUAAAGGUACCAUGAUUGCUUUAUAAGAAGUGAAUUUUUUUUCGCUCGAUAUAUCACCUGUUUGGUAGUAAGACUUGAUCAACCUUGCUAACAAAUAUGUUUUAUAUGAGUAAAAAGAGAAGCUUUUUAUGUUUUCAUUUCUUUUAUCUUUCAUCCUCCUUGUUGUACCAAAGUUUUAUGUUUUUUAAGCUUCAUAUGUUUAACCAUUGUUUCGAGCUUUCCGAAAGUUUUGCAGCUUUCGGUACUUCGAAAAUUUUCAAAAGUGAAGUUGUUAGAAAAAUUCCAGAAAAAUUAUAAUAAGAAUUUCCAUCGAAAAAGAGACGCAGGGGCACGUGAAGCCAACCAGGGGGGCCCCCUUGUCCAGGCGGCCAGGUGGCACGUCCUGGCCCCUGGUCGCGCCCAGAGGUCGCUUGGGCCCACCUGGUCCCCUUUCGUGGUACUUCUUCCUCCCUUCUCUCUCUCAGACACCAAAAAUCCCGAUUUUUCUCGUGGAGCUCGAGUUCUUGCUGUUCUUGGUGGAAAAUUUCGACCUCUCCCUACAACCCAUCAUUUUCAUUGAGAAAUUGAGAAUUUGCUCCUUGGUAUGUGACUCCUCCACUCCUCCAAUUAGAAUUUUGAUUGGUGGUCUUAUUUGUGAGUAUUUAGGAGUUCUUGGUGCUGUUCAUAUGAUCUUGCAUGCAUGUUUAGGAAUUUAUUUAUGAAGUUUUGAUGUAAGCUUAUGCAUCGGGGAAGUGAGUAGAAUAGUUUGCUCCAACUCAUUUUUGCUUAAACCUUCGUUUUUGUCAUGCAUCAAAAAUUUCAGAAAUGAGUUUGUUUGGAAAAGCAUAAGGAUGGCUUGGGAAGAAGAGACCCGAGCCUACCGAUAGACUAACCAGAGCUGCAUCUUCACCUUCUACUGUGAGGACCAGUUAUAAUAAUGAUAUAGUGCCACCGAAGUUGCUCCACGAGACGGACACAACACAUGCCAUGGCAUACCCAUGUUCAGAUUUCCUUACGGUGGCAGGUAUUAAGGAUGAGUUUGAUAACCUCUGUGCAGCUGCAGGGUUGACACGUCUCGUAACACAACUUGUGCAACAAUAUCCAAAACUCACCUAUUAUUUUGUCAACUGGUUUAGAUAUAAUGAUCAAACUUCCAUGAGUGAAUUUUGAUUAUAUGAGGAUGUCGUUACCAUGUCUUUGGCAGAAUUUUGUGACAUUAUAGGUGUGCGGAAUGUCGGGAAGACGACCAAAAUGGAAGUUCAGCCCUAUGAGCUGAAAUGCCUAUUCGCUUCCCUUUCAGCAAGGAUCCGCGAGACAUUCACCGGGGGAAGAUCUCUAGCAUAUUAUUUCCCCACAUCAGGUAUUUCGCAUACUAUAUUUCUCAAGGGGUGUUAGCUCGUGACAACACGAGAAACAUUUCGGCUUUGGAUAUCGCUAUCUUGGUAGCCGCCCUCUUAGGAGAUAACACGUAUAAUAUUGGUGCUUUGAUUGCUUGUCGCCCCGUCCCUAACAGCGGCAAAGGGCCUCACUUUGGUGGCAUUUAUGCCACGCUUAUCCUCGAGCACCUCGGGUGCACUGUAUGCAUGGAUGAUACGCCUUUUUCAUUCAUAAGAUUUGAUCUUGCCGCUAUGAAGAGGCAUGAGUUUGUUACUAGGAAUUUUGAGUUUGGUAACCUUGUUUAUAUUAUGAGGUUUGGCGAGUUUACUACUCGCGAGAUCCGUCUACAUGCACCACUUUUGUUUGAUUAGACUAGAAGGAAUUGAUGGUCCUUCACCUCGGUUGAGCUGGACGAGUUCGUGAUCCAGCAAUAGUCCGACAACCCCAUGGAGGGGGUUGUUCCGAGGAAGAACAGGCUUCUUCUUGGGAGGACUGUCGAGCAUCAGUUUACACACCCGAGGCUUCGUAUGAUUCUUGGAGCUACCCGUACCACUCCGGAGCCGGAGGAAGCUCCUGGAGCCCGCAGUAGCCAAGCCCAACUUAGGCCAAAAGCUUAAACUUGGGGGAGUACGCACCCUUAUCCCCUUUCAUUGUAUCAUCCAUGGUUUCCUUUUUAAUCUUUUCAGAGUUUUUUCCUAUUCUUCUUUGUUCUUUCUUUGCAAAAACAACAAAAAGAUUCCUCUUUUCUUUUGCUUUUGUUUAACCUUUGGAAUACCCAAAAAGAUUUCUUUUCUCUCUUUGGUUUGCUUCCCUUUGCAGAGUUCAGCUCAAGUCCAUGGUUGCAAUUGCACUUAAUUAUAUGUUUCUAUGUUCGAUCGUGUAAGUGAUGAUGCAAUAAUGACGAAGAUAGACGGAAGGGAUGCAACAAGGAAAGCCGGUAUGAACUCUAUUUGUUUCUCCUUUUGUACAUAUGCCUAUACUUAUGAUCUAGAGACCAGCUUGUAGCGAUAUAGUGCUAUGUUUACAAUGCUUUCCCAGAAGUUAAUGCUUUCUUUGUGACUUGUUUCAAAUAGCUGGAGUGCAUAAUGUGUUAUUGAAAUGACUUGCAUGCAUUGCAUUGUUCAUGGUUUGGCAUAUUGGAGUGGUAUUUCCCUUUGGAGAGUUUUUGGAUUGACAUGGCACAUGCUUACACAUGUUUAUGACUAGAAGUCUAUCAAGCCAUGAUGAUCUUUUUAUUUAAGAAUAAUUAUAUCACUUUCAUGCACGAUUCAAUGUUGCUUUGUCGCUCUGCAUGAUUAUGUCCGUUAUUGCUCUCUAGUUGGUCUCUUCCCCGUCCUUUGCUAGCCUUCGCCUGUACUAAGCGGACUGACUACUUGUGCAUCCAAAAUCCUUGAAACCAGGUGCGCCAUAUGAGUCCACGAUUCCUACCUAUAUGCGGUAUUUAUGUGCCAUCCUAAGUAAAUUUGCAUGUGUCGUAUUCUAAAUCUUCAAAUAAAUAUUUUGUUUUGUAUGGCCGAAUCACUCAUGUAGCGACUAGGGGUCAUCAAUAUCUUCCAUGCUAAGUGGGUUAUUCUCAAGAUAUGUGUUGAUUCAUUAUCAUACACGAGAAAGUGGUUGGUAACCCGGAUGCCGAGUUCCAUGCUCAAAGUCAAAUCAAAGUUAAUGAAAAAAAAACUCCCCCCAGGAUUGUUGUUUGUAUGGACGGUACCCGCGGAUUCUGCCCGCCGUGGAAUGUGAUCGAUUGGUGGACGGGUAGUAAAAUAUUUACUAUUCUGUUUGGGAACCGCCUAUAAUGUAUUUAGCAUGGAAGAUAUUGAGAUCUCUUAGUUGUUAUGUUGACAAUGAAAGCAUGCCACCCAAAAUUUUGAUUCAUUUCUGUUUCAAAAGCUCAAGUUCUGGCAUCUCUACAAAACAAUGCUUCCCUCUGCGAAGGGCCUAUCUAUUUUACUUUACUGUUGAGUCAUCCUCUUCUUAUAAAAAAGGCACCAACUAUAGAGAGCAUAAUUGUCAUUCUGAGUGUAAUGUGCAUUUCCCCAAAGCACUACAUUGUCUUCUGCAUGAUUGUGAUAUUACUCAUUCUGAAAUAUUUAUUUCUAGUCUCCUUUAAGACUCCGAAGGAGCGUCUGCAUUGAUGUUUUGCUUCACUCUUGGGGGCUAGUGAGAUACCACUCUAGUAUGUCCGAGUCAUGUGUGUUGUGUUCUCGUCAUGAUUUUCGGUUGCAUAUUAUUCAUUCUUAGUUGUUUGAAACUGUUCACAUGAUCGGAGGAUUGCUUCGUGCAUUGUCUUUGUAGCAUUGCUUCAAUACUUGUUGGACUUGUUCGUAGUGCAUGCUUAUAUACUUCUGAUGAAGCAAAAGUGUUUGUCAAAGUUCUCUUUGUCGUGUCCAGUUUGUUGAACUGAAUUGCUUGAGGACAAGCAAUAUGCUAAACUUGGGGGAGUUGAUACGUCUCAAAUGUAUCGACUCUUCCAAACACUUUUGCUAUUGUUUUGGCCUCAUUCUCGCAUGAUUGGAAUGAAACUAACCCAGACUGACGCUAUUUUCAGCAGAGCUGCAUGUAUGGUUUUCUUGUGUGUAGGAAAAUGGAUAUUUAGGCGUCCCAGAAAAUUCCAAUAAAAAUAGAGAAAAUCCACGCACCGGGAGGAACCCUGGGCCAGAAUAUGGGCUAGAUGGGGGCCACCACGCCUCCAGGCGACCUGUGGGCGCGGCCUGCCCCCUAGCCGUGUUGGGAGGCCGCCUGGGUGGGGUCCAACUCCUCUGGUGCCCUACUUUGGCUCCUAUUUUUACCCGUGACGGAGAAAUCCCAGAAGAUAAGUCGUGUUGCAAGUUCUCGACACGGAGCCGCUACCACCCUCGGAUCUUCUCCGAGGAGCUAAUCUGGAGGCUGCCUUGGCCUCCGGAGAGGGGAAAUCAUCGCCAUCGUCAUCACCAUCACCACUCCAUCACCCUUCCACGGCUUCCCCUAUCAUGUGUGAUUAAUUCCCUGCUAUAGGUGAAAGGGAUGGUAGGGAUUGGAUGAGUUAGAUCAUGUAAUAGUUCGUCGGAUUGUUGGGGGCAUGUUGCCUAUCAUCUACUAUGGUACUUAUCAUCUUUGCUACUACUUGUUACUCUUAAUACUUGUCACUUUGGGCCCGAGUUCCAUGAUUUCAUAUAUGUAUACCUUAUGUUUUCAUGAAUAUAUUUGUGUUCUUGAUCUUAUCUAUGAGUAGUAUGCACCUAUUAUUGUCCGGAAUCGGCGAUCCCAAUGGUGACAACUUGGGACACCAAAGGGGAUAGACUAUUAUUUUAGGAUUCCAUGUAUCUAUUGAUUGUUAAUGCUUUGUUCCGGUGCUCUUUGACAGGAGCACCUUAAUCUCCAUAAGUUCCUUUUGGCCCCGUUGGUAGCGGGAUGAUAGGAUAAAAGAUGUUGUGCAAGUUCUUAUUGCAAGCACACACGACUACCUUGGGAUACAUGCCUAAUGUUUCAUAUUUGCCUAGAUGAUCAUUACUUUUCUAUGUGCCUUGCCCCAAGUUAAAUACAUGAUAUCUCUCAUCCAUGACCAACCAUCCAUCUCCCUAGCCUAUAGUGUUUUAAUCCUGCUAGUCUCCAGUUGCUCUACUUAAUAUGUUUUACUUUUCUUGCUUUGCCACCACUAUCUCUGUUGCCACUAUCACUUUCAUAUCACCGUUGCUACUAAUAUUUCAUUGCCAAGCAAGUAUCUUUCAGGUGCAGUUGAAUUGAAAACUCAACUGUUAAACCUUAUAUUUAUUUUUUGGCUCCCCUUGUGUCGAAUCAAUAAAUUGGGUUAACUUACCCGCGAAGACUAAUGCGAUCCCCUACACUUGUGGGUUAUCAGCGACCUACAUCAACAAUCUUGCCACCAUCAACGCCAACUCUCUGCCCCUCUAUGAAGCGGUGUAACACCUAUUUUCCCGCCGUAACUCUCUACUUAAACAUGGUGCUCAACACUACAUACUAUUUCCAAAUGAUAUGUGGUUAUCCUAUGAUGUUUGAGUAGAUCCAUUUUGUCCUACGGGUUAAGUGUGAUAUGAUGUUAUUGAUAUCAUUUGCGUGUUGAUAUCAUGCUCUCCUAAGGUAAUUUUUUUCCGUGAUGCGCACACAUGAAGGAUACAUGUUGGAGGGUAUCCAAUAUGUUCAUGAUUCGCUUAUAGUGGGUGGCGAGGGUGACAGAAACUUACACCCGAGCAAGGGAGUUGUGCGCAUAUGGGAGUAAGCACGACUUAAUGUUUAAGGCUAUGGGGUUUACCUUAAUGAUUUCUAGUAGUAGCGGAUGCUUGCUAGAGGUCCGGUCAUAAGUGCAUAUGAUCCAAGUAAGGAAAGUGUGUUAGCAUAUGCCUCUCCCUCAUUGAACAAAAUAAGUAUCUAUCAUGUUAUAUUCAAUUGCAUAUGGAAAAUCGUUCUCUUGUGUUACACAAAAAGCUUUCUACUAAAUAUCCUCUUACUUUUAUUUACUUUCUCUUUAUUUUUCCGCAAAAUAGUUUCAUACUUGUUCUAGGUAAAGUAAGCGUUUGUGCGUGUAGAGUUGUAUCGAUGGUUGAUAGAACUUGAGAGAAUAUUAAUUCUGCCUUUAGCUCCUCAUUGGGUUCGACACUCUCACUUAUCGAAAAAGGCUACAAACGAUCCCCUACACUUGUGGGUUAUCAACCUGGUCAAAAUCUCAGAUGUGGUAGGUGAUCAAUUGUUGUGUCAUCUUGCACAACAUGAUCAUUGAGAGCGAGUAGGAGGAGCGAGUGUUUGACACUGAACCAUAUUUUAGGAACGGUCCUCUUGCAGUUGUUGACCACCAAGUACCGGCAACAUGGGUUGCCUUCCUCAAUAUGCGCCAGGAGAUCCGAGACCCACAGGUGCAUCAAGAACUGCAGGACGAUCUCGUGGAGCACCUAUGGAGGCUCAGGGCAACACCUAGUUCGAUUUGUUUUAAUUUGUGUUUGAAUUAUGAGCUUUCUUCGUUGAACCAUUUGAUUUGUAUUGAUUUAUUUGAAGAACUUUGUUAUAAAAUUUAAUUUUAUGAAUUUGUGCCUAAAGUGAUCCAAAUUUGUACUUAAAUUGGGGUGAAAGUGUCGGCCGGGGGCACCCUUUGGGGGUCGCGUGGGAACCCGAGCCCCCCGCCACCUCUCGCCGAAUUUAGCACCACUUCGCCCCCAACCUGCGCUAUUUUAGGCCCUUGGGGGGACGAACGGCUGGAGAUGCUCUAAGAAUCUGGAGCACAACACAGAAGAGAACUUGUGGCAUGCACCGACGGGAUCAACCUAUUUUUUUAGCUUUUAUUUUUUCAGUUUUUCAUAUAUUUUGAACCAAAAGUUUAAACUAAGUCUUGUUUUAUAUUCGUAUUUCUUGUGACGAGGACUUCCAAAUAAGACCAAUUUUAAAUACAUUUUGACGAUCUUUUUUUAGUUUCAGCUGUUGACACUUGAUACAAAGAACGAUAAAAUUCGUUAGUUUUUGGAACUUAAACUUAAAACUUGAUGUGACCUCAUGUAAAAUUCAAUGACUUUAUGAGGCAAUCAAACGACCGAGCAAGAAUGCGCAGGUGCUAACCCCUAAGAAUUUUCGAGCACAACAUAGACAAAAGUAUUAAUGUUACUACGGUAUUAUGUUCGUGUGUGGCAUACCUUCUGUUUAAACUAGUUUAAGUAGAAUUUUAUUGCUUUUCUGAGGUGAACUUAACUGUAAUAUAGAAGGAACUAAUUGUUUAAAGAUGUGAUGACUUGUUAAGAAUAUUUUAGACUCCUUUAAAAAAGGCAUGCCAUAUUGUUUUUGGAGGAUUUAGGGAAGAUACUUGUUGGUCCAGCUUCACCAGCUCGGCGCAUGAAGUGGUGCCAAACGGCCUAGCUCCGUACAUCCAGCAUUGCGAGGACAAGCCCCCCCCCCCAGCAGUGUAAAACCGGGAAAAUAGUUAAGCCGAGCUCCGAGAAGCUGAAAUAGCAGAGGUCCCCAAAUUUACACCGAAAAUGUGAGUGAUAAGUGAAGCUUACCAAUUCUAAACAGGUGAUUUCUCUUCCCCGAGCUCUUCCCCUCCCUUACCGUUGGUUCAUACACCACGCUGGCCGAUCGUCCGCCGUGAGAGGUCCUCUGCAAUCCCCACUUUAUUGUUGGAAAUAUGCCCUAGAGGCAAUAAUAUUUUAUUACUAUAUUUCCAUAUUGAUGACUAAGAGUUUAUAUUCUAUAUUAUAACUGUUAUGGUUCUGGAAUAUGUGUUUUAGUGAAAAACUGAUAUGCACGUAUGGAAUGAUAAACGGUUAAAUAAUGGUUCCUAGUCUCUAAUAACCCACAAGUAUAGGGGAUCAAUUGUAGUCUUUCUCGAUAAGUAAGAGUGUCGAAACCAACGACGAGCUAAAGGUAGAACAAGUAUUCCCUCAAGUUCUAUCGACCACUAAUACAACUCUACGCACGCUUAAUGUCCUCUUUACCUAGAACAAGUAUGAAACUAGAAAUCCAUUGUAGGUGUGAUAGGAUAGGUUUCUAAGAUAAUAAAGAACACAUAAAUAAAAACUAGGGGCUGCUAAGAUAAAGAAACAACUAAGCUGGUCUUAGUAGAGAUCUUUUUGUAAUAAGAAGGUUUAUUUGUUCCUAGGCAAUCGUUAACUAGACCGAUAAUCAUUAUUGCAAUUUUAUAUGAUGGAGAGGCAUAAGCUAACAUACUUUCUCUACUUGGAUCGUAUGCACUUAUGAUUGGAACUCUAGCAAUCAUCCGUAACUAGUAAAGAUCAUUAAGGUAAAACCCAACCAUCGCAUUAUAAGGUAUCGAGUCCUCUUUAUUCCCAUACGUAAAUAACCUACUAAUUUAGGUCUCUGCUUCUAUCACUCAUGCCACCUACGAUAAGCGAAUCAUAAACAUAUUGCAAACCCUACAGCAGGGAUCCCUCACGCUUGCACGACACAGAGAGCACCAUAGGACAACACCAAUAAUAAAACAUGUAACUCAAACCAAUCAUGAUCAUCAAUCAACCCAUAAGACAAAAUGAAUCUACUCAAACAUCAUAGGAUAGCGAUACAUCAUUGGGAAAUAAUUUAUAGCAUUGAGCAUCAUGUUUAAGUAGAGAUUACAGCAGGGAGAAGGGGUGUUACACCAUUGCAUAGAAGGGGGAGAUAGUUGGUGAUGACGACGGAGAAGUUGUUGGUGUAGAUCCUCGUCACGAUGAUGGCCCCGACGGUGUUCCGGUGCCACUAGGAGAGAGGGGGAGAGAGACCCCCUACUUCUUAUUCUUCCUUGGCCCCCCUAGAUGGGAGGAGGGUUUCCCUUCUGGUCCUUGUCCUCCAUGGCAGCGGAGGGGCGAGAGCCCCUCCAAGAUUGGAUCUCUCUCUCUCGCUCUUUCUAUUUCUGCGUUGCCAGAUUUUGUCCUUCCACCGUUUCUUAUAUUCCCGGAGAUCCAUAACUCCGAUUGGGAUGAAAUUUUAACACGAUAUUUAUUUGGAAAUUAGCUUUCUUGCGAUGAUAGAAGGGCACAAACUGCCUUACGGGGUGGACACAAGCCUGCCCGACGCAACCUACCACCCAGGUCGUGCCCCUAUGGCUUGUGGCCCCCUUGGGCACCGCCUUUUGUUGAUUGCACUUCCCAAAAUUCACAAAUAUUCCAAAAAAUCUCCGUAAGUUUUUAUCUCGUUUGGACUUUGCUUGAUAUGGAGUUUCUACGAAACAAAAACAUGCAACAAACAGGAACUGUACUGGGCACUGGAUCAGUAUGUUAGUCCCAAAAAUAGUAUAAAAAGUUGCCAAAAGUAUAUGAAAGUUGUAGAAUAUUGGCCUGAAACAAUCAAAAAUUAUAGAUACGAUGGAGACGUAUCAAUCUCGCCUCUAAGACUAGCUCAAUGUUGUUGCUUUUAAAGGUGCUUAUGAAAUUGCUUCUUUUCUUGAAAAGUAUGAUGAUGUUCCUUACAAAUCUAAUUUUUUUCCAUACUUCAAUAUUGCUACAAUAAUUAUGAAUACAAUGCUGAUAUUAAUGAAUUUAUUGAAAAAAAGAUGGAUGCCUUGGAAGAGACUAAUAUUUUCUAGGAGUCUAUGGAAGAAGAAAUUGAUGAUACUGUGAGCUCAGUGGAUGAAAAAGAUGAUGAGGAGAUUCAAGAACAAAACGAGGAAGAGCGGAUUAGCUACCCGUGCCUACCUUAUAAUAAAAGUAACUUUUCAACUCAUACAUUGUUUAAUUUCCCUUUCACAUACCAAAGGAAGAAUGCUAUGAUGAUUGCUAUGAUCCCUUGGAUUCAUUUGAAAUAUCCCUUUUUAAUGAACUUGAUGCUUUCUAUGAUUGUGGCCAUGAUGCCAAUAUGAAUUAUGCUUAUGAAAUAGGGCCGGCUUUGAGGGGGGGCAGGGGGUGGCCGCCCCAGGCCCCCAAAAUUCAGGGCCCCCACCUGGGUAAGUAGGCAACCCAUACACACACCUAUGGCAGCCCAGCCAGCCCGUCGAAACUACACAUUGCCCAUGAGUUGGGCACGCAGCGGCUCAUUUAAUCGUUAGGCUGUCACGCAGUUCCAUGACUCCUCGUCCGCUAUCUCACAGUUAUAGCCUCGUACGCACAAAUCUCUGUUUUGGUUUCCUAAUUUACAUCUCAGAUCAAAGCACGAGUUCAUCUCUUUGUGACGCCAUCAUGCCCUAUUCAUGUCUGUUCGGCGGUUGUCAUUUCACAAGCGUCGCUCUCCGAUCUCCACUCCACGUGGCUGUCCAUACCUCCUCAUGGCCUCAUCGUCGAGCAAACACGCAUUGACACACACGCCACUCUACAUUGAGUCAUGGCUGAGCGCUUAGUCAGGAGAUCACCUACAAGUCCCUCAUAAAAAAAGGCGAUCACCAACAAGAAUAUGACCCAUCCGACGCACCUAUAUGUACAUGGCUAAGUAAGUAAUUGACCUUCGUAUGAUGCAUAUAUUUCGCCGUUUAACUUUUGAUGCCAUUUUUUCUGCAUUGUAUGUAUACAUUAUUUCAUUUGAAAAUAUUUUUUGGGUUGAUUUAAAUGUUUAUCAGUAACAUCUUAUAUAUUUGAAUUCUAUAUGUUUACAUAGAGUCAUUCAUAAUGGAUUGAUUGGAUAUUUUUACGGAUAAGUAUAUAUCAGAGAUGUGUUCUUUAUGAGUUGAACUUCAUAAUCACUAAGAUUUAAUUGAGUUUUUCUAGUACGUACCUUUGUAAGUCCACACUAGUUUUGAAUUAAUCAAUAUAUUUUUAAAAUUUAUCACAUUUAGGUCAUCCAAGUACGUAUUCAAAAAAAAUUAGUUUUUUUAUUAAGGUAGUAUUGGUAAGUUAUCUUAUAUGGAACUGUUUCAGAACAUUUUAAGUGUUUCUUGGUAACAUUAUAUAUAUAUAUACAUACAUCGAUUAUUAUUAUUGGUAUUUAUAUUAUAGGCCCCAGGUUAAAGUUUUCCCCGAGCCCCCGAGAUCUCAGGACCGGCCCUUCUAUGAAGAUGAAUCUGUUGUAGUUCCUUAUGUUAGGCAUGCAAUUUUUAAUAUUGCACCCACACAUGAUAGUCCUUUAUAUUUUUGAAUUCUACCAACUACACUAUAUAAGAGAAGUUUGCACUUAUUAAGGAUUAUAUUGAUGGGUUGCGUUUUACCACUUCACAUGAUGAUUUUGAUGGAUAUAAUAUUCAUGUGCUUGCUGCUCAUACUUGCAAUUGUUAUGAUAGAGGAACUACAUCUCCACCCCCUUAUGUUUCCAACAUGAGAAAAUUGCAAGAAACUGCUUAUGGUAUGUAUUGGCCUUUACCUGAUGUGCAUGAAUUGUUCUUUUAUGACAUGUCGAUGCAUAGGAAGAGAGUUAGACUUCAUCAUUGCAUGAUAUAUAUUGCUUUGUGCUCGCUACUAAAUUACAAAUCAUUGUUAAUUAAAAUUAGCUUUGAUAUACCUUGGGAUCCUGGUGGACCGAUUACUUGAGCAUUUUAUGCCUAGCUUAAUGGAUUUAAAGAAAGAGCUGCUAGGGAGACAACCCGAAGGUUUUAGAGAGCCAUUUAUUUAUGUUUUGUUCUUUUGAAAUAUUUAAAAACGAAACAAAAAAUAAAGUGGGGAACUUAAAACUUUUCAAAAAGAAAAGUGAAAGUGAGAAGGACGAGCAUCGUUGAUGUGGGUGCUAGACUUGAACUUUGUUCAUGCCCAUGGAUAUAUUAUGAAUCUUGAUUACAUAAAAUUUUCUACAAAAAUAAUUAUUUCCUUGUAAAAGUCCAUUGUAUUAUAAAAAUAAUGUGACAAGAUUUGCAUUUAGGAUGAUUAGAUUGCUUGUUGGUAUGUGCGGUGUAAAAACAGAAACUUUGGCUGUAGUGCAUGAAUUUACAUUUUUUACUCGACUGUCGAAAGUUCCUAAAAAAAUAAACAGUAAUGCUAUGGAAAUUUCCUAUUUCGUCCUAAGUUUUCAUAAGUUUUGAAGUUACUGAAGUAUAUGUCAAUGUUAAGAUUACUACAGCCUGUCCUAUUUUUGACAAAUUCUGUUUUUGAUGCAUUAUUUUGCUUGUUUUGAUGAGACUAUCGAUUGUAUCAAUGGUAGAAGCGAGGGGGAAGUUAUAUUAUAGUAGCUAUAAUAGAAAAACAAAAUAUUAAUGGGUUUUAAACACUACUUAAGGUAGUAAUUUGCAUUAUUAUACUAAUGGAUCUCAUUAGUUUUCUGUUAAGUUUUGUGUGGAUCAAGUGUUCGAAGUUCGAGGAGGUCUCUAUAUGAGGAGAUGGAGGAGAGGCAAGAGUUCAAGAUUGGUAAUUCCCAAGUCACCCCAAGUAAAUAUCCAAGGAGACUCAAGCGUCUAAGGUUGGGUAUUCCCCGGAAGGCAUCCCAUCGUACUGCAACAAUAUCGGUAUGUUUUCGGCUUUGUUUUGUUCAUGCGAUAUGCGUAAAUGUUGGAGCAACUUUUGUGUUUAGUUUUCACUUGUAUUUUAUGCACCAUGCUGGUAUGAGAUAGUCCAUUGUUGAUUUAUAGUAUGCUCAUUGCACUUCACUUAUAUAUUUUGAGUAUGGUCUUAUAGAAUGCUUCAUGUGCUUCACUUAUCUCAUUUGAUGUUUGGAUUGCGUGUUUCUCUAUAUAUAGAAAACCGUUAUUUGUAGAAUGCUCUUCUGCUUCACUUAUAUUUAUUAGAGCGUGGUCUUUUGUAGAAAUAACUAAACUCUCAUGCUUCACUUAUAUCUAUUUAGAGAGUCAAAAGGAAUUGGUCAUUUACUUGGUUAGGCAUUAAUCCUACAUAAAACUUGUAGAGCACUGAGUAUGAUGUUUUUGAUUCCUGGUAAUAGUUUUGCGACAUUAUGAUAGAAAUAUGUGGGUGCACUAGUUGAUGAUGAUGGAUUAGUACGAAUAUUGAUGUUAAGGUUUGUGAUUCCUGAAGCAUGCACAUAUAAUCUCUGGUUACGCGAUGGAGUUGGAGCAUAAUUUAUCCUUGAUUGAAAUGCUUUGUGCUGUUAUAAUCGGAGUCACGCGAUGGUUAACUCCUCCCAACCUUCCCCCUAGGGGCAUGCGAGUAGUGCUUUGCUUCGAGUGAGCUAAUAAAAUAUUGCAAUAAGUAUGUGAGUUCUUUGUUACUAAUGUAAAUCCAUGGAUAUACACACUCUUACCUUUCCGCAAUUUGCUAGCCUCUACCGUACCAUGCAUUGCCCUUUCUCACCUCGAGAGUCGGUGCAAACUUCGCAGGUGCAUCCAAACCCCGUGAUAUGAUACGCUCUAUCACACAUAAGCCUUAUUAUAUCUUCCUCAAAACAGCCACCAUACCUACCUAUUAUGGCAUUUCCAUAGCCAUUCCUAGAUAUAUUGCCAUGCAACCUCUGCCGUCACUUCAUAUGACUUGUACUUCCACUAUCACAUUGCUUUGCAUGAUCAUAAGAUAGCUAGCAUGAUAUUUACAUGGCUUGUUCAUUUUUUAUAAUAUUUUGCUACGCUAGAUCACUGCACAUCUUGGUACACUGCUAGAGGCAUUCAUAUAGAGUCAUACUUUGUUUUAGGUAUCGAGUUGUAAGUAAAUAAAAGCGUGAUUAUCAUCAUUAUUAGAGAAUUUUCCCAGUGAGGAAAGGAUGAUGGAGACUAUGAUUUCCCCACAAGUCGGGAUGAGACUCCGAACGAAAAAUGAAAAAUGGGGGAGGCCAAAUGAUCCCACCACAAAAAAAGAGAAAGAAAAAAUGAGAGAAAAAAGAGAAGGAGCAUGCAAAUUCCACACUUGUGCUUCAAAGUAGCACCAUGUUUUUCAUAUGGAGAGUCUCCUAUGUUGUCACUUUCAUAAACUAUUGGGAAUUUUUAAUUAGAGUUUGAAGCACACCCACUUAGUUUUCACGUUGAGAUUCCAUACACUUAUAGCUCUUAGUGCAUCCGUUGCAUGCCAAUCCCUACUCCUCGCAUUGAUAUCUAUUGAUGGACAUCUUCAUAGCCCGUUGAUAUGCUGAGUUGAUGCGAGACUUUCUUCUUCACUUUUACCCCCUUUGAAACCUACCACGAAAUUCUAUUCCACCUUUAUGAUAUAUCCAUGGUUCACGCUCAUGUAUCGAGUGAGUAAUAAAAAGCUGAAGCGCGUUAAAAACAACGAUCCAAUUGCUUGAUUUGACACUAGGGUGAUCAUGAUUUAUACCUUAUGCUAGGAAGACCAAGCAUGAUAGGCUAUAUGAUUUUGUACGGAUAGCUUUAUUUAGCAUUGUUAUUUUGAAAGGACAUGACUGUUUGCUAGUAAACCUGGGUAUGGAUGCCUUUUUUUGUCAAAUGAUAGACUAUUGCCUUGAAUCACUUGUAUCUUAAUAUUCAUGCCAUGAUUAGAUAUAUGAUCAAGAUCAUGCUAGGUAGCAUUCCACAUUAAAAAUUAUCUUUUUUUAUCAUUUAUCUACUCCAGGACGAGCAGGAAUUAAGCUUGGGGAUGGUGAUACAUCUCCGUCGUAUCUAUAAUUUUUGGUUGUUCCAUGUCAAUAUUAUACAACUUUCACAUAUUUUUGGCAACAAUUUAUAUGAUUUAUUGGACUAACAUAUUGAUCCAGUGCCAAGUGCGAGUUCCUGUUUGUCACAUGUUUUUUGUGUUUAUCGAAAUAUCCAUAUCAAAUGAAGUCCAUACGCGAUAAAAAUUUACAAAUAAUUAUUUUGGAAUAUAUGUGAUUUUUGGGAGGUGGAACCAAGGAAAACGGAGGCCCAUGACCUCCACUUGACACCAGGGUGCGCCUGGGACCCCUGGCGCGGGGUGGUGUCGAGUGGGCACCCCUUAAGUCAGUUGUGGCUCUCCUUGGAGAACAAGAAACCUAAUUUAUGGAUAAAUAUCCCCUGAAAAUUUUAGCCCGGUCGGAGUUACGGAUCUCCAGGAAUUUAAUAAACAGUGAAGGGCGAGAAAACAAGAAUGUGAAACAAAAGAGAACAGAGUGGGAGAUCCAAUCUUGGAAGGGCUCCUGCCCCUCCGCCGCCAUUGAGGCGAUGGGCGAUAGGAGGAACUCUUCUCCCAUCUAGGGGGAGUCCAAGGAAGAAGAAGAAGGAGCGGGCUCUGCCCCCUCUCUCAUGGUGGCGCCGGAGUGCCGCCGGGGCAAGGAGCAUGAUGGUAAUCUACAACAACAAUCUUGCCACCUUCAAUUCCAAUCUCUCCCCCUCUAUGCAGCGGUAUAACACAUAUUUUCACAAUGUAACUCUGUACUUAAACAUGAUGCCCAAUGCUACAUACUAUUUCGCAAUGAUAUAUGGUUAUCCUAUGAUGUUUGAGUAUAUCCGUUUUGUCCUACGGGUUAAUUGUGAGAUGGUGUUUUUGAUAUGGGUUGUGUAUUGAUAAGGUGCUUUUAGUGAUGCACACACAUGAAGGAUACACGCUGAAGGGUUUGCAAUAUAUUCAUGAUUCACUUAUAGUGGUUGGCGAGAGUGAAAGAAACUUACAUCCGAGUAAGGGAGUUGUGCCUGUAUGGGAGUAAAGAGGACUGUAUGUUUAACGCUAUGGUUGGGCUUACCUUAAUGAUUUCCAGUAGUUGGGUGUAACAUCCCAAAUUUUGGAAUGUUAAUAUAAUUAUUAGAUUGAUUGUUUGUUUGUUUGAGUGAUUGAAACUUGAGUGAAGUUUGAAAUUUUUCAAAACUUUUGAAUGAGAGGGAAUAAAAUGAUUUUCCCCUUUUUCCUGUAAAUUCAAAUUCAUCCAUUUAAAAUCAAUGAUGAGAACAUAGCAUGACUUCUUCAACUAUAAAGAAUUUGAAUCAAGGUGGCAUUGAAAUUCCUGUCGAUUUUUCUUUGCAUUUUGUUUGUUCCUUAGUCACGGAAUGUCGGGAACCAUAUCUUGUCAAGCAAGAAAAAGAGAGGAGAAAACAUGACCCUCCAAACCCGGGGAUAUUCUUUGAAAUAUUUGAGCCAUGACACCCAAGAUUUAUUUGAGUAAUUAUUUGCAAAAAGAAAUAAAGCAUUUAGGGGAUUUACUGAAAAACAUUUUUUUAAAAGUUUUUAUUUCGGCCGUGGAAAAAUGUCCAUCAUUUAUAUUUUAUUUUUCUGAUAAUUUUAGUAUAUAGAAAUUCUAUAUUCCGAAUUUAUUUGGUUUCCUUUUUUAUCAUUUACUUUCCGGUUUUUGCAAAUAGGAAAGAGAUAUUUUUUAAUUGGAAAUAGAUCGGUGGCCCAUUAACACUCUCCAAAUCUGGCCCGACAGGAUCAUCUUCCUCCUCACGUUCUCCUACCUCACGUCGCAGGAAACUUCCAUAGCCAUGGUGAGAGGAAUCUCCACCUUCCCGAUCUCCUUGCUCCUUCCUUCUGCGAGCACCCCGAGCCCCUAUAAAUACUCCCCUCAACCUCCUCUCCCCAUUUUCCCCGUAGCCCAGCCCCUCUCCUCGUUGGAACGCAGCCCCCACCUCGCCGAAGUUCGCCUCCAACAGGAACUCGCCGGAGCUCUUGCUGCUCCCUCCCGUCGCCCCCACGCCCCGCCGGCACCACUGAUGGGGUCAUAGUCCUAGGGUAGGGUCAUAGGCCUGCCCUACACGUCCCUAUCCAAGGACUACCCCACACAAAGGACAGGGCCCUAGGUCUGUUCUGACUGAAUUAAGGAGUCCCGAUCAUCCAGUCGGCAACAGGCCAUGAACCAUCCAGUCGGAGACUAGCAUUCGGAGGGCAUCAAGCUAACCGACUGGAUACACUCGGUACGUCGUAACCUCUCUGGAGGGAAACUGCCGUACGUUUCCGGGUGCAUUUAUUAGCAUUUAGAGCAUACGUUACCUGUAACGUACGCAUUCAAUCGCCACUACUCCACCCUUGAAUCAGAACCAUUGUGGAGGGCCGCGCACUCUAUAUAAGCCGCCCUCCCCCACUGGUAAAAGGGUUAGCAAAUCAUUGUACUCCAUAUUACACUCGGUAACAAGCUCCGAGAGCACUGAGACGUAGGGCUGUUACCUCCACUGUAGAGGGGCCUGAACUCAUACAACCUCGCCGUAGCUAGGACUCUGCCCAUCUCAUUCGUACCCUACACAUCUACUGUCAGGCUUAUACCCACGACAGUUGGCGCCCACCGUGGGGCAGGCGUCUAAGCGACUUCGGGCGAGUUUGCGACUACCUCUUUUCGUCAUGCCGACUGGUGAAGAUUCGAGCAUGGGUCACCAGAUCCUCUUCGGUGCUCUCUCCUUCAUCUUCGACGAUUCGGCGUGGCUUCGGGAGGCUCCUCUCGACGUCGAGGCGCUUCCCCGUCGCGGGGCCACGCACUUCCGUGCCGGCGCUCGCGGCGUUCUUCUUCUUCAACAAUCGACUCCAUUGUCGGUUUGCACCUCCGUCGUGCGCCGCACCAAGCGGUCCCGCAGUCCGCGUCUCCAACGUUGGGUGCAGCAUGCCCGAGCGCGUCAGGUCGCGUCCUCUCAAGUGGCGGUUUUGGAGUCAGUUGUGGUAGCCCCACGCUCCCAGUGCUCGGGCUCGGUUCCGACUGAGCUCCCUUCCGAGUACGCGGGUCGCGGGCCUGCAGCAGAAGUACAUAUGGCCAACACCCAUGAAGAUUCCCGUCAAACCGACCGGGGUGAGCGCGAAGUUGGUGAAGCAUCCGGUGCACGCCGUCCUCGUCGUCGUUCUGCCAGUCGGCACACUCGACGAAGCAACAUAGAGUUGUUCCGCACACCUCUCCUCAACUUGGCUGCGGCUGCCCAGAUCGCCGAUUCCCUCCAGCCGACUGAUUCAGAGGCAGGGAGGGGAAUCGAGCAGAUCCGAGCUCUAUUGCGCACGACACAGCAGCAGAAUUCGGCAGUCUCCCAGUCACACAAUCGGAUCUACAAUAGUUCCGUCCAUGCAAACACGCAUCGAUCGGUUCACAGCCCUGGUUCCCAUCAACACCACAGGGGAGGCAGCCGUUCCGUGAUCCGUGAAGAUUGCCGCCGCUCACGCACCCCUCCGCAAAGGGACGCUUGGAAAGAAGGGAACGCACGGCUCUUAUCUGGUUCGAAUCCAGUUCGGGGUGGGCCUUACGGGUCCCGACAUCAUGAUGAUCGGCGUUCAGUCAGCGACACUUACGACCCAAGACACGACGCAAGAGGGCGAAUCGCCCAACGAAGAGUCGACAGGGGUCGAGCCCACCGUGAUGGGCACAAUAUGGACCGUCCAAGUGGCAGUAGGUCCAUCGUGUCCGGACCCGAGUGUUUUAUUCGAGCCAUCCGCUCGGCUGACAUCCCGCCCAACUUCCGAUUGGCAGCGGGAAUCAGUAAAUUUACGGGAGAAUCCAAGCCUGAAACAUGGCUAGACGACUACUGAGUGGCAGUCCAGAUCGGAGGAGGGGACGACCAUGUCGCCAUGAAGCACCUCCCUCUGAUGCUCGACGGCUCGGCUCGAGCUUGGCUUAACCAAUUGGCCCCCUCAAGCAUUUACAGUUGGGCAGAUCUGGCCCGAGUGUUCAUCAGGACCUUCGAAGGGACGUGCAAACGCCCUGCAGGCCUUGUGGAGCUUCAGCACUGCGUUCAGAAGCCGAAUGAACCCUUGCACGACUUCAUCCAGCGAUGGACAACUCUCUACCACACGGUGGAGAACGUCACCGAGCAUCAAGCAGUCUGCGCCUUCAAGGCAGGCGUGCGGUACAGAGAGCUAUACUUGGAGUUCGAUCAAACGGGCGACAUCUCCAUGAGUAAGAUGAUGGAGAUAGCGGCUCGCUACGCAAAUGGCGAAGAAGAGGACCGCAUCCGGAGCGGCAAACACAAGACAGUCGGCGAUGUCGACGGAGGUUAACACUCGGAAGCAGAAACAAAAAGUUCCUCCCACACCGCAAGCAGAAGCUGCAGCU
rnacentral:lncRNA from 1 species